rnacentral:lncRNA from 1 species
AUUCUCAUGCAGCUGCUAGACAAAUGAAAGCAACAAAAUGUGUGAAUUUGACCGACCGUUCCUAGAACAAGUGACAAAGGAUUUGAUAGUUGGUACUCGAGAUCCCAAGUUUGAAUUCUAGUUGAUUCAUAUUUCCAGCUAAGUUUAUUUCUAAAUAAAAUAAAUAAAGCGGGUAGCGUGCUACCUAUAUCUCAACAAAAAAAAAAGUGUGAAUUUGUCUCAGCAUACCGUGGAAGAUAAUAUAUUAAUUUAUUAUCUGAUCCAUCUUUAAUUUAUUUUUAUCCGUAGCUUAUGUAUUACCUAAAAGAAAACUUCCCAAUCACCGCUCUACCCUGCACCGUAUGAACUCAAUUUUUUUCUUAAUUUGAAGAAUUCUUAUACUUAAUAAAAAGAAAGUGGUAAAUCUUAAAUAUUUUUUGUUCAUACAUGCAUGCGUGUUUAAUCUGGCUAUGGAAUAUAUUAAACAUAUAAUUCAAUAGAUUAAUUGUUGUCUAAAUAAUGCUUUUGGGUAAAUCACCAGAGUAAAGUUAUUUUGGUAACUUCACUAUAUAGCAAAACGGGAAGGUCAAGGACUCCUGCUUCUGAGAUUUUCUUUUUUUAAAAAAAACUAGAACAAAAAAUUCUAAUUGUAUAUUUAUUAAAUCUUGUUAAAAAUUAUUAAAGUUAAGAGUACGAUCAAGAAUAAGUGCACCAGAAAUCUUGGUUGUCACAAUAUUUGGCAUUUAUCAAUGUAUAGAGCCUGAAUCUACGCCUUCUAGAUCUUAGGUCCCAACAAUACAAGUCCAAUUGUUUAGUGGUUGUAGCCCGUAAAUCAUGAAAAUACUACUUGUACAGUCAGGGUACCGUUUAGUUCGAGUAUAAGCAAGAACUAGCUAUUAUAGGGAUAGAUACAAGUAAAUAUAUGGAGAUAAAAAAAAAUAGCGUUUGGAUGAAAAUUAAGUUGUUCCCGGAGAUAAGAAAAAUACCGUUUGGAUAGAUAAUAUGGAAUAAAAAAAAUAAUUGAUAGUUAUAUAUAGAAAAUGAAGGUGUUGGUGAAAAUAGUUAUACCAGAUUAUUUUAGAUAUCCAAGAACUACUAUUCUCGGAUAAAAAUUUGCGUUUAGGUAUAAAGAGGGAUAAGAAGUUAUCCCUCCUCUUAUCCCCAAUCCAAACAUUGCCUAUAGGAAUAUACAUUCUACAUCCAGAUAUUUUAAAAUUUAUAGAAAUAUAAGUAAAUUUUAGUUUAAAAAAUAAUUUGACAAAUAAAUAAUAGCGAUUCUUAGAUGAAAAAAGUGUUAGAUAUACAUUUGUUUUUAGAAUAUACAAAUAGCAUUGCUCAUAAAUCAUACCAAUUUUUUCAUAUAGGCCCUCAAUCUUUGUUUUCUUCUCAAAUUUAACAGUUGAACGGAAAAAGUCUGAAGCAAAUCUACAAGUGACCAAAGAAAAAAAAAAUCAGGACUUCCAUUGAAAAAAAAAAAAAGAAAUAGAAAAAUUAAACUAAAAUUAAUUUCUAGGCAAGAUUAACUAUACACCUUACGUAAUAGUAACAUUUCGGAGUCACCCUUCAAAAUUUUAAUUACUAUAUGUAAUUCUUUUUCCCUCAAUUUUUUUUAAAAAUAUUUAUAAAUUCGUCUAUUCUGCAGGCUGGCUGGUCAAGGCACAUUAGGAGUGUAAAUGAGCCGAACACGAGCGAACUGGGGUCGGCUCGUGUUCGGCUCGUUUAUUAAACGAGCGGAACACGAGCUUGGCUCGUUAAAGUUCGAGCCGAAAAAUUCAGACCCGAAAAUUCAGCUGUGUUCGGCUCGUUUAUUAACGAGCCGAACACGAGCUGGCUCACGAAUUGGCCAAUGAACAAUAAAUUUUUAAAAUAAAUUAAAUAUAUAUAAAAAACUAAAUUUAAUAAAUCUUAUCUAUUAGACUUUGAUCUAAGGGUGCGUUUGGUUCACGCUAUCUUUAAAGAUUCCUAGUAAUUCAAUAGAAAUAAAAAAUAUGACGGUGUUUGGCUAAACGCACUAAGUAAUCUAGUUGGUAAUAUUGGAUUCACUUGGGAAUAAGAUUUACCAAAGUACUAAUCUUAUUUCCUUGAAGGAGGAUGGGUAUCAUCAUAUUAAUGGAUUUGGCUAAUCAUAAUAUGUCUAAUCUCUUUCUUUCUCCCACCCGCCGGUUAAUUGAUAUUUUUUUUCUUAACACUCUAACCUCAUACCUCUCUCUAAAUUUAUCUUUCUCUCUAAAAUUUAACUUUUUUUUCUUUCUCUAAACUAACUUUUUUCUCUCUCUUCUAAAAUUUCAAAUUCUCUUACUCCCUCUAAUUUCGACUCUAAUCUUUUUCUAUUUUUUUAAUUAUGUUCCUCUCUCUAAUAUGCUCUCUCUCCUUUUUUCUAAAAAGAUGUUGAAACUUUUAGUAGGCAUAUCUAAAAUUAUUAAAAAAAUAAAUAAAUUAAUUGUAUAUUUUUUGUAAUAUUAAAUAAUAUGGCAAUUAAGUAUUACCGUGCGAACCAAACAUUAAAAAUUUAUAUUUUAGUAAUAGGAUGAAUAGGAAUAAGAUUCUCAGACAUCUUUUCAUUUCUAGUAAUCUUUUAUAAUACGAACCAAACGCACCCUAUAUAGUUGAAACUUUACAUAUAAAUGAGUCUUUUUAUAAUUGAGCUCGCAUUUAUAUUUUUAUUUUGCUAAAAAUUAAAUAAUAAAAAUAUAUAUUAUAUAUAAUUAUUUAUUUAUAUAUAAAAAUAUAAAUUAAAUAAAUUAUAUAAAUAUAAAAUAUAUGUAUUCGAGCUGUUAUCGAGCCGAACACGAGCGAGCUGACCCCAGCUUGUGUUCCGGCUCAUUUAUUAAAUGAGCUGAAAAAUCCAGCUCGUGUUCGACUCGUUUACUAAAUGAGCGAGCCGAACACGAGCUGCCUCGCGAACAGCGAGCCGGAUUGCCACCCCUAAGGCACAUGAUGUGUACCCUGAAUUAUAACCUCUUAAAAAUUAAUUUGUAAUAACAUAAAUAAUUUGGGCAAUAAAAAAUAUUAAAUCUAAGAACAAUCGACUUAGUAAUGAAUCUAAAAGAUUUUGAAACUCGAAGAAAUAUAUUAAAAUAGGUAAAAAGCACAUAACUUAUGUGAACUAUAGAUUAUUUUGAAUUGAGUAUCCAACCUUUCAAAUGUUUGAUUUUAUCGUCUGACAUUUCAAUUUGUUUGAUUUAAUUUAGUCAACGAUAUUUUGACUUUAAACUUUAAAUGCGCGCAAUAUUUAUCUUUACAUAUUUAGUCAGUAUACUUCACAUAAUUUUCAUAACUAUAAAUUUAUUAAAAUAAGUAAUUAGCUUAAAAUUUAAAAUUAAAGUAUCGUUAUAUGGUUCAAAUUAAGUAAAUUAAAAAAUCAGAUAAAAAAUUAAAAUUUUUAAAAAUUAAGUAACUGAAUCAAAAUAAUCCACAAUUCCAAUAAGUUAAAAAUUUGUACCAUUAAAAUAGUAUAGUUGAAACUUGAAGCCACCAACAUUCCUGUCGUUCUCUGUGCAAAUAUCAGUAGUUUAAAGGUAAGGAAACAAAUCUUAAUCUAGAUAUAGUGAAUCUUAGAACGUCUCCUUCUAUCCGUCCAUUCAAAGAAUGUAUAUCGACUCUCUUGCACCGAUUCACACGGAUAACACCAUAACACCAUAUACAAAAGCCUACGGGCAGUUUCGCCCCCAACAAACAAAAAAAACAAAAAAAAACCAACAUAUCAUGGAAGAAAAACAAAUCUUAAUCUGGUUACAGCGAAUCUUGGAAGGUUUCUUUAGUUUCGGUCCAUCCAAGGAAUGUAUUUUGACUCUUCUACGUAGAUUCACUCACACUCACAACAUCAUCAUCAUCAUCAUUAUUAUUAUUAUUAUAUCAUUGAAAGCGCCCAUCUUAUUCCAUUCCAUUCCAUUCCUUUCCUUUCUGGAAGAAAGAAACAAUGUACAGAGACAGCCCCGAGAAUAGAAAUUAAGCUCAGGCAAUGGCAUCCCCUGUAGACGACAAGGCCCCUCUCCGCUACUGCAUCAUAUCUUCUAUAAAUAUACAUUAAAUAUAAUUUUAUAUAUAUAUAUAUAUAUAUCCCUUCAAUCUUCUUAAUUAAUGUAGCGGCCGCAGCCCACAGAUAUGGCCNAUAUAUAUAUAUAUAUAUAUAUAUAUAUAUAUAUAUAUAUAUAUAUCCCUUCAAUCUUCUUAAUUAAUGUAGCAGCCGCAGCCCACAGAUAUGGCCAAAAUUAGGAAACAAGGUUGAGCAAAGGAGGAAGAGAGCACACGCUAGCUCUUCACCGCAUGGUUUUCCUGAGCACCAUUUGAUUUGGCUCCAUUUAUAACCUCCACUCUCUGUCCCUUCUGUUUUUUGAUUCCGUUUCUUUCUCUCUCUCUCUCUCUCUCUCUCUCUCUCUCUCUCUCUCUCUACAGCGGAGCAAGAGCAAGAGCAACCAUCAUUGAUCACUGAUCAGUAGUGGAGGAGAUCUAGAGAGAGGACCGAUGAGGGGUUUGUGGUUUCUUGGGCUUGUUGGGCUGGUUUUGGUGAGAUGGGCUGAUGCUAGUAGGCAAUUAUCCAAUGCAACAGGGGUAGGGGUAGGGGUAGGGGUAGGGGUGGGGGCCGGAGAGAGUGAUGCGAAUGGGGGCGAUCCCUUGAUGGUGGAAUUGACUCUUAUUGAAUCUGCUGUCUCAAAAGGAGCUGGUAUCUUCAUCAUGACUUUCAAAGUUUUUUGUUUUUUUACCUGUUUCUCAUGACGUGCUGGUCGACCUAAGUUAAUUUGAAUGUAUAUCUACUGCCUUAAUUAGUUUCUCUCGGGGAUUUUUUUCUCUUUUUUGUUUCAUGCAAUUUUUAGCCGCUGUGAUCUUAAUUGACGUCAUGAUUGUUGUCUAAAUUCUUCACAAUUUCUUCCUAGUUUUUCUUUAAUUUUUUCUACAGCAUAUACAAUUUUCAGUUCCCCAUGUUGUAAUAAUGCCUACUUAUGUUUCUGUUAACUAGUUAACAUUCCUAUUUCUGUUUCAUGAAAUUAAUUGUCUUUGACAUUGAUAGGAGACUUACUGUUUUCUUCUUGAUUCCUGAUCUGUCUUAUCUCAUGGAAUAUUAAGACGUACGCAUGAUCUUGUUUUUUGUUUUCUUUUUUUCCUCUCCUCCAUUUUAUUGUUGAAAUUAGUUCUUAUCCAGCUUAUUGAUUUAAUUAAUAGUGCAGGAGUCCGCAUUUUGCAGCGGAUAGAAACAGCAGAAAUAAUUAAUAAUAAAAAAAUAUCAAAUAUUUUUUUAUAUUAUAUCUCAUUUGCUACAUCCACCAAAGAUCUUUCAUUGUUGACGGCGGGAAUGGACCUAACAACUCCUCCGGCAAUAGCAAUAGUGACGGCAAGGACAAUUCCUUCGGCCACGGCGGAGAAGGGAGGUGGGUGCGCAUUAGGAGGCGAUAGUGUACAAGAAAAGAUAAAGGAAAGAGAAUUGAUAAAUUAUUUAGAGAUGGAGAGUCAAGGAUUGUAGAUGGUAGCGAACCAUUUGAAUGCAUUAAUUAGAAGUCUAAUAAAGGAAGGAAAGGAGAAGGAUGAUAAUGAAUUAAUUAGAAAUAGAAAUGUAAGGAUUGUAAAUGGCAGUGGAACUAUUUAAAUACAUUAAUCGAAAUUUUAGUAGUGGGACCAUUUAAAUAUAUUACUGGAAAGUUUAGUAGUAGGAACAUUUAAACAUAUUAAUUGAAAGUUUGGUAAAAAAAAAGGAAUGAGUCGCAUGUGAGGACGAAGGAGAACUUAUAUAGUAAAAAAAUAUUGAAGAUUUAUAUAUAUAGUAAAAAAUAUUGAAGAUUCAUAUACAGCAAUAUAUAGUUUUCUAUUUUAGUUCUAAAACAUUCGGUAUGUAGGAUGGAAUUACGUGAUCCCUUGAACAGUCAACGGCAACAUUGCUUUUCGUCUUGCCCUUCGUACUGCUGCUGAAAUAGUGAACAGCUAGCAACAUGGAAUUGCCGAAUCAUCGCUAUUCUCCUUUAUAAUCGUACAGUAGACCACUAACCUUGGGCUGGUUUUAAUGUAUAUAGUAAGGUAAAGUAAUACAGUGUUGUGUCAAAAUAAGAUAAAAAGAAUUUCACUACAUUAAUAUUCACAGUUUCAUUUUAAAGUACUCUAAACGUCAAUUAAUAAAAUCUAAAGAUAUUGUCCUCGUUCGUUCUUCUUAUAUAUCGUCACUUCAUGUUAGCAUGCAUUUAACUUAAUGGCUAUUAAUAUACUUUUCAUGCUUUCUUUGUUUAUUUCGAUGUUAACUUAAUUUUGAGAUAUUUAAGGAAGACUAAAACUUAUUAGAAAGGUGCUCUUAAUGAUGAAUUCAGUCUGUUUGGAUGGAACUCCGCCCGCUUACCACCUUCAUCCUGGAUUUGGAUCAGGAACGAACAAUUGGCUUGUUGACUUAGAAGUGAGUGGACAAAGGGUUUAAUAACUAAUAUAUAAACAUAAAUUUUAGUCAAUUAAAUGAUCUCUAUAUAAGUGUUCUUGGAAUAAAGGGUGGUGGCUGGUGCAAUAAUAUAAGGUCGUGUGUAUACCGUAAGACAAGUCGUCAUGGUUCAUCAAAUUACAUGGAGAAACAAAUAGCUUUCACAGGGAUUUUGAGCAACAAACCUGAAGAAAAUCCGGGUAUUAUCUUCAUUUCCUCCAUAUUAUAAUAUAUGAACUUUUACCUUCGAGAUAUAUUAAUUCAUAAUUCCUCUCAUAUUGUUUUUUGCUUAAUUUAAUGCAAACAGAUUUCUAUAACUGGAAUAGAGUGAGGAUUCGUUAUUGUGAUGGGGCAUCCUUCUCUGGAGAAGGCUAUGAUAAGGUUACUAGUUUUAUAAUAUUUGUACUUUUAAGCUAUAUAAUGAUGUACUCGAGUCUAUUGACAGAUUUUUUUUUGAUCAUUAGAUAUCCAAAUAAAAUUCUUUUUGUGCAUCUACUAGUUAAAUUUUUAUGCAACUUUUGUUUGUAAUAUGUUUCAAACAUGUUUGACAAUAGGAUUCACAACUUUAUUUUCGAGGACAACGUAUCUGGUCAGCUGCUAUCGAUGAACUCAUGUCGAAAGGAAUGAGCUCAGCCAAUCAGGUUUUCUUUCGUAUUCUCUCUCUUUUUGGGCCAAUAAUCAAAAUGCCACUAUAAGUUUAUACAAUUUUGUUAAUUAUUGUUUAAAAUUUUUUACAGGCCCUUCUCUCUGGGUGUUCUGCUGGAGGUUUGGCAUCGAUUCUACACUGUGAUGAGUUUCAGGCAUUAUUUUCAGGAAGCACCAAAGUCAAGUGCUUAGCAGAUGCUGGCUUUUUUUUGGAUGCGUACGACCCCCUAUAAACUAUAUAUGUGCUUAAUGUUACACAAGUUAGUUACAUGAAACAUUUAUGUUUCUUCUGUCAUUUUCUUUUUUAAAAAAAUUUGUUUUUCGUUCUACUUGACUAUAUAGAAGAACUUUGUUAUUUUCAUAAACUUUAAUAAGUGUCUCACUUAAUUUCUUUCGUUUAAAUAUUGCAGCGCUGACGUGGCCGGUGGGCAUACUCUAAGAUCCGUCUACGAGGGUGUGGUGAAUCUUCAGGUAUUGUUCUAAUAAGGAUCAUCGAUCUCACGCUUCCUCACAUCGUAGCUAAUCCCUUUCUGUUAUUUCCACACCGGGAUCAAGUAAAUGUUUCAACUGUUAAUUUGGUUGUUGGCCUGCUAUAUCUUUGUCCGGGACACUCCGCAAUUAAAGCUUUGUCAACUAGCUAGGCGCGCGUGAUGCAUGAUGGCAUUAAUCUUGGUACCUAUGCGGCAUCUUAAUUUCUUCUUUCCCAGCUAGUCACCAAUCACCAUAUAUUUUCUUUUUUCUUUCCCCUCCUCUUCCCUCCUUCUUUUCCUCCCUCUUUGCACCACCGUCAAUUUACGCGCCAUAGACGAGCACCUGUAGCCUAUGUUGUCCUCUUUAAGUUCUUUCCUCCCGUUGCAUCUUAUCCGACUACCGGCCUUGGCAGUUUCAACCCCCUUUUCCAUGCGGUCCCUGCCACCUCUUGCUCCGACUUACUUUCUAUUUCUUUCUCCUUUUGACGCUUCCUCCCUCCCAGGUCCCAGCCCCAGGCAUAUCCAAUGUUCAAUUUUCUUAUCCUCCAUUCAUCCUCCUCUGAUAUCUGAUGUUGAGAAUUCGCAACGCGUUCUGAUAUUGGUUACCGGUUGACCCGGUACUCGCUCCGGUACCAAUUACUGGGAUUCAGCAACAAAUGUGUCGAAUUGAAUUUUUUUCGUAAAUUCGUCUCCUUAGCUAAAAUCUAUUACUGUCACAACCACAAAGAAGAAAAAAAAAAUAAACAGAAAAUAUGGGUGAAAUGAGAUUCGUUAAUCAAAGAAAAAAUUGUAUAUGACUUCUCUUUUGUAUAGAAUAGCGAUUCGAUCUUAAACUAAUUUCGAGUCGAAUAUGAGUUGGCUCGUGAACCGCGAGCUGAAUUGCCAUCCCCAAGCCCCAGCAACUUUUUUUAUCUCUUCCGCCAGAUUUUGUUUUCGGAUGAUGCAAGUGCAAGGACGAGCCUUCUUCCGUGGCCGUGGGCUUCUUUUUUGGAAGCUUUUUAACUCCUUUUUUUUGAAAGUAGACCCUUUUCUCUUUUUCGGUAGGUAACAAUUCUCUAUAUCUGGCUCUUUCUAGACAUUGCAGCAGAUAGCAACUUUUCCGCUUCCUAUGUUUUUUUUUGGAUUUCAGGCUGGUAGGCAUUGUGUGAAUUGGUGAAAGCUUUGGGUGUACCUUCUAUUUUUCACAUUUAUUGAACUUACCGGGCUCAACCCAUAUAGCUUUAAUGACCUUAAAGUCCAAUGUUGAUAAUUUACAAUCGUUCUCUUGUAACGAAAAUUGUUUUAGAACUAUAGUUGUUUUAUAUUAUUUAAUAUGGUAUUAGAACAUAAGUUUUGAGUUUGGAUCCUGUCAGGCCUUUACUGUUAUUUUAUUUUCUUCUGUUUAAUUUAAGCUCACAUCUUGGGCGUAUCAAAAUAUUUCCAACCCAAAUGUGAGGACAAGUGUUGAAUACAAAUACUAAAAAUAUCAUUUUCUAGUAGAUUAAACUUUUAAAGAACAAUAAUUGUUUCGUAUAAUUUAACAUCCAAUGUACUUGAAUUUUUUUAAGAUAUGUAUGGUGUUGAUUUAUGCUGUAUUGCUUAAAUAUUUUUUAUAGAACUGAACAAGCUUUAUAAGGGUUAAAAAACAUUUUUGUGGGCUCCUUUUUAUGAUUUUGUUUCUAUUUUUGUUGCCCUCUUUUGGGAAACUGACGUGAAAAUGAAGGGAGCAGCGAAGAACUUGCCAGGGAGUUGUACUGGACGCAUGGAUGCAACUUCGGUUAGCACUUAAUUCCUUGAAGAACGACUAAAUUAAUUGCAUUAAAAAAAAAUUACUGACUCUUUAAUUUUGUUCUUUCUUUUUUAUUUUUAUUUGUAUUUGCAGUGUUUCUUUCCGCAGAACUUAGUGGCCAGUAUUCAAACACCAACUUUUCUUGUAAAUGCAGCAUAUGAUGUAUGGCAGGUAUGUAACAAUCUCUACUUCUGAGAUACAAUGUCUUUGUUACUGCAUCCAUGGAAGGUCCUGGUUAAUUAAUUGUGUUGAUUUUUUCUAUUUUACUUCGUAAAAUAGUUCUGAUAUGUAGGACUAGAGAUUGUUUAAUCCGCUUUAACAGUUUUCUUUUUCUUCUUCUACUAUAUUCUCAGAUACAGGAAAGUUUAGCGCCCCCAAGUGCUGAUCCUGAUGGUAGUUGGAAAGACUGCAGAUAUAAUUAUCUAAAAUGCAAUUCGACUCAGAUGCAGUUUUUGCAAGGUAUAUUUCUGUUUUUGCCUCAUCAAUCAUUCAGUCUUAUGCUAGAUGGAAAAUCGUCGGUAUAAGAACAUUAGUUAGUACGAAUGACUCAAGGUUGCUUGUAAGUUGCAAAUCUAAUCCAUUAAGUUUGACCUUGUCUUUAAAUUUGUCUACGUAGUUUUAAUUGUUUCAUUAAAGAAAAAGUUUUAAAACAUCAAAAUGUAGUCCCUGGAGAUGACACACCGGCACCAUCAUUGGAUAUUCUAAAAUUAUGAGGAUGUAAUCGAAACCAAGGUCAGACUUCAUCGAUAGAAUUGAAAUCUAUGCCAAACUUUAGGGAUUAAACUGUUACAGUUGAAACUCUGAAGAAACUGAAUCCGAAGAUUGUAGAUCUUAAAUUUUCUAACUGUCCCUGAAACUCAAUUAUACAGGGUUCAGGAACCAAAUGGUUACUGCGGUGGAUGGUUUCUCCCAGUCUAAGGGAAAUGGGUUAUUCCUCAAUUCAUGUUUUUCUCAUUGCCAAUCUGUUAAGCAGGAUACUUGGUAUGCAGAUGAUUCUCCUGCUAUUUCAAAUAAGGUAUAACUUCUUUCAUCUUAAGGUAUAGUUUUAAAUAAUGACAUGCUGAAUUAUUCUCAUUCAAUUAUGGAAAAUAAAAAAAAAAGGUUAAUUUUCAUUGAUGUGCAUACGUACCUACAAAAUUAUCAAACUUAAGCUAAGGAUGCUUAUCCCUGAAACUGUAUUUUCGACGAAUGUAUAUAUAUAUAUAUAUAUAUAUAUAUAUAUAUAUAUAUAUAUAUAUAUAUAUAUAUAUGUGAAAUAUAUGAUUUUGCAAUGAUAUAUUGGAUAGCCAUUCAUUCAUAAUUAUCCUUUGGUUAAUUUGUGGAAGAACAAUUUGAAUUAGCACACAAUGUCUCUUACUUAUCUGUUACAGAGAGGGAGCAAUCACCAGGUAUACAUUUUUUUAAAAAAAAAUUUGAAAAUGAACAUCCAUAGUAUGACUUUGUAUGGGAAAUCACCAAGUGCAUAUUAUAAGAAUCUCAGGAAAUGGAAGUCCCAGCCCUUCCAUCCUGAUCGAGAUUUAGCUUCUUACACACAAAUAAUUAUCCUCUAUUGAUGUUUGGUCACAUGAAUUAUAUAUAUUGUAUAUUUUAUAGCCUAUGAUUCAACUUUCAGGUAGAUUUUAAUGGGUUAUUCUGGUGCAGGGAAUUGCCAAAUCUGUUGGUGAUUGGUAUUUUGAUCGAGCUGAAGUGAAGGCCAUUGAUUGCCCGUACCCUUGUGACAAGACCUGUCACAAUCUUCAAUUCGGCCAAUUUGGCGAGGAUCCUAAUUCCUUGGAUUAGAUUCUCUAACUUAUUGCCCUAUUUAAGUAAUCAAAAGACAAUAAAAACACAAGAAACAAGAGAAUUUCUCUUGCUUGUGCAAAUUAUAUAUCUUUCCGUUGUUCUCCAAAUGGUCGUCCCUCCGCUAAGCUCGUUUGAUGCCUUUUUAUCUUCUUGCUAAUUAAUCAUUACUAGCUUUUCCGGGUACAGCCUUGUUCUUUUGUUCUUUUGUGUUGCUACCUUAUCUCCUUUGCAUCUUAUAGAUACAAGUAUUUGCUUUGCGCAGUCGAUUAUUACAAUCAAGAGAAAAAAAACGAUUGGGUUAUUAAGGCUAGUUAGAGAAACUGGCUCUACAAAUGGUUGUACAUUUGCAAAUUUGCAAGUAACACAGAUAUCGAAACAAGCCUUAUUUCAGUAUUUCCGUACGAAGACAAAUUUUGUGCAAUUGUGACUUAUCAAUUGAUUAGACCUGAUUUAUAGUUGAUUCGUACAAAUUAAGAAUCUUACUUAUAGAACCAGAACAGAUCGGAGGAACAGGAUUCAUAUAUUAUAGCUAGCCCUAAAUAUAUUUGGGGCCAAAAUCAUUCAGAAAGAACUCCCAUUGCGCAUGCUGCUGCUACUCUCGAUUCAUUCAGAAACAACUCCCAUUGCGUAUGCUACUACUCUCCUCUUGAUCAAUGUAAAAUUUUACAUGCACUCAUAUGUUAAAACUUGGUAAGGUAGACAAUUCAAUAUUGAGAAUAUUCAGGGAAAAGUAGAUGUGAGAAGAAAAAGACAACACUGGUUGCGCCUUUGCCUUUGCCUUUGUGCUGGGUAUUUAAAAGUGUUUCUUCUUGCAUUGCUAUACUCCUCACAUAGAUUUUCAGAUGGCAGACUUUGUUCUACCGGGAGUUAACAUUUGAAUUCCAAACUCAAAUUAUUAUAUAUGUAAAGGAAUAGUAUUUAUUAUCUGUUUCAAUGUCUUGGAGUUUAAAGGUGGUAGGCGUAAUAUUUCUACAUAUAUGCUAGCUCCAUUCUAUAUAUAUAAUACUGCUAAACCAUUAACGGAAGGUUACAAAACAAAUGGAAAGAGCUAAACUGGAAUCAAAUUUCUUCCCUCUUCUUUUUUUCUUUUUUUUUUUUUUUCUUUUUUGUUUGAGAGAGAGAAAAUUCCCAACUAAUUUGAUCCAUUAAAACCACAGGAAAAGAUUUGGCACUAAAUCUCACCAUGCAACUAAUUAAUAGUCAUCCAUGGGGAUUCCCUUAAAAGCAACAAGUUCAAAACUAGAAAGACUAACUCCCCUGAUCGAAGAGAGGAUCCAAACACUACUCUCAAAUCUCAAUGGAUGAUAUACAAAAUUAAAUCCAGUGGAGCUAGCCAGCAACUACUUGACGCACGCACGCACGCAUUCAUGCGCGUAUGUACUCUGGACAUUAAUACAUGCAUGCGGCGUGCUGUGACUUAUUUACAGAGAAGAGCAAUUAAGCACGCUGCAGACGCUGCACCGCCACUGCUUGGAUCAGGCGCGGCAGCUGCGAUCGGGUUGGUGGUUGGACCUGUCGAGGAUGGACCACAUCACGCGAACAUCCUCGUAUCCGCACGCCAUGACCUCCCCAUGAAGUAUCAUGCCAUGCUGAUCAGUUUUAUGAUGCCCUGCAACGGCGACAGCAGCAGCAGCAGCAGCAGCAGCAACGCUUGUUAAUGGUUGGUUGCUCCAUAUAGCUAUUGUAUUUAAGCACUCCCAUACCGACAAUAUAUACAGCUUGUGCCAGAGGCCAGGCCUAUAUAUAUUUAUUUAUAAAGGCGUACAUGGCCGGCGGAGUACUCAAGUUUCAGCAGCAGCUCCCGCUGUCCGGGAUGAUGUAUUCAAACUCCGGAGCAGCUAAAAGCGCUGAUCACAUUUUUAAAUCUAUGUUUUUCAUUGCUUUUAGAUCCGAAAUUAAUUCUUUGGAAGUGGAUCUAUAAGCUCAUUCAUGCUUUUCGCCUCGUAUCCCGAAUCUCUCUGUAGGUUUCCAAAUUGGAGGAAUUAAUUAGCACUUUAGUUUACAAGUUUGGCUAUGAAAUAGCUAGGCACUAUGUAUGUUUGUAUAGAUAUUAGAUGAACCAUGAAUCAAUUGCGACGGAUAGGUAGAUAUAGAUUGUUGGUUAAUUUGUUUGUAGCAGUAAGUAGGUGCGUACCAGCAGCUGUACUCUGGGACUUGCUGCGAUCUCUGUUGGGUGAGCUGAAGAGGGACGAGCAAGCCUUUCUAAAUGGAGAAGUGAUGGUGCGAACCCAUGAACCACCCAUGUAUAUGAUCUCCUCUUCUUCUUCUUCUCCUUCUUACUGUUCUUAGAUUCAGAUUCCGACUCUGCCCAGUACCAGUAGGAGUAGCAGCGGCAGUGGCGGAACGAAUCGAUUCACAAGCUCUACCUACCUUCUCCGCACUUGUGACUGAGUAUAUCUAUGUGUUCUGUAUAUAUAUAUAUAUAUAUAUAUAUAUAUAUAUAUAUAUAUAAUAUAUAUAUAUAGAGAGAGAGAGAGAGAGAGGAGGGGAACCAAAUCGAUAGAUCGAUCGAUCGAUCGAAGGAGGAAGUGUAUAGGGGGGGUGGUGGAGGCAAGGAGUAUGAGGCAAGAUCGUGAGUUAAGUUCUCUCUCGAGAUUACAUGAGAUGAGAUGAGAUCAGAGACAUGAGACGCGCACACUUUCAAGCCAUAUGCUUCACAUUAUUCCCGAUGAGUUUACACCGGGCCGGCGUGCUAUCAAUUAUAACUACUUUUUUAUAUAUUCUUAAUGUAUGGCUAUCUGACAUGCACGACGUCUGAAAAACAGUAAAUAAAAAAAAAAAGACAAAACACAAACAAAUGCAGUCCAAUUAAUCUUGCGCGUAAAAAACUAAAAAGCCUUGCAUAACAUCGAGACGUAUAUUUUAAUGCGGCUAUUCAUGGGAAAUAUAUCGCUGUGCUCUCAAAGUUUUUUUUUUUUUUUUUUUUUUUUUUUUUAAACAAUAAUAAUGUAGUUCGUUUGGCUGUAGGCUUUUUUUAACUCUUUUACAUGGUACCGAAGUUAAGGUUUAAUAUUUUUUAUUUCGAGUCCUAAACCCAAGAAGCAAAUAAUAGUUGUAAUAAUAAUAAUAAUAAUAAUAAUAAUAAUAAUAAUAAUAAUAGUAGUAGUAAUACUAAUAAUAAUAAUAAUAAUGAUAAUGAUAAUAAAAGAAAAGGACAAAGCUCCAAAGGGUAAAGAAAUUAGCUAUGGGCAGUUAUCCUUGGUCUCGUCGAUGUCGGCAGCCAACCUCGGCAACAUCGGUUUACUUACGGCAUCGUCUAUUUUUCUACGAAUUGAGUCCACUGCACGAGGUAUUUGGUUCCCAAACCUGUCUUGACUUCCUUUGGUAUUGCAGACGGCAUGUAUUCCAUAAGUAUGAUAUAAAUUAAAUGUGUGUACAUCGAUUCCAUCAAAUUGUAAUUUUGUAUAAUUUUAUUGAAAAAAUACAAAUAAAAAAUAUAUAAAAAUAUGUAUAGUAUAGUAAGAACUACAGCAGGUUGAAUUGAAAUUAACAAUAUAAUAUAAAUAUAAAGAGUAGGGCUAUUGUGCUUUUAAUUUCUUAACCAUUCGCAAAUUUUGUACGCUAAAUUUAAUUAUUUUGCUUAAUAAAUGAACCAGUACCUCUUUCUCAAAAAAAAAAACCAUUCACAAAUUUUGAUGAUCAAUGGUUAGGACGAGAAAAAAAAAAAAAAUUAAAAAGAAGAAAAUUUAAGAUACUCAAUUUCUCUCCAAGUCAAUGGAUCCAAUUCGAUCUCAGAAUGUGAUUCAUUCGUCUCGAACCUAUCCUCCUCUACAUUAGCCGAACUGAAGGCUGGACUGUGCAGGUAGGGUCAAAAUGAAGGCAAAAUAGCUCAGAAUGGGUUCAUUAUCAUUCGACAACCCAACCCAGCCUCAACAUAUAUGGGCCGAGUUGAAUUAACACGAUUAAACCUAAUGUAAGCUGUAAUUUGAAGUAAUGACGAGAAAUCUUCACUCUCUCUAGAGUCAAGGGGAUUGUUUAAUAUCCAAGUUGCGUGAGCUAAUUAUUUGUACCACAUCUGGAAAAAAAAAAAAAAAAGAAGAAGAAGAAAUUUAUGUAUAAAACUCAACAAAAUUACCGGAGGUUUUAACGAUCGGGUUCAAAAGACUGAAUAUUAAUUGUUAAUGCCAUUUGAGAGAAAUAUAUAAACGGAUUAAAACUCCAUUGAUAAUAACGCAAAUUAUCACGCCCAUUGGAGAGAACGAAAGUGGCCGCACAAGUUAUACAACGAAGCCAUAAACUGGACGAGACAUAGGUGCGUAUUGAGAUUUGAGGCUCUAGUUGCUUUCUUUCUUCUUUCUCUUUGUCCAUUGCUUCUCCUAUUCCAUCACCUAUUUAUUGUACGUACUAUAUUUCUAUUAAUUUCUUUUAAGAUCUAAUGUUUAAUUUGUACUCCUUUUUAUAAUACAUAAAAACCUUUCAUAGGAAAUCGCCCUAUUUAUCGAUGUUAAUCUUUUGAGGGUCGUUACCGGUGCUUUCUCAUGGCACUUUGUAACAUUCACAUGAUCCCUACACAUGAUCCCUACACAUGACCUAUCAUCACCUACUAUAUAAAUUAAUGUAGAGUAAGAGAUGUAAUCUCCAGCUUAAAUUAAGUAAAAGGUUAAGGCCUACUCGAUUCAAUUAUUUUGCAUCAGAUGGAAGGUCUUUUGGACAAGUGGCAAUGUAUGAUUCGAGUUGUAAGAUUACCUUCUACAACUAGCUAGCAAGAGUUGUAUAUAUAUAUAUAUAUAUAUAUAUAGGGGCCCUCCCGUGCAUAUUAUUCUUUUCUUUUCAUAUAAAAAGAAAAUGUAUUGGCACUAGGACGGUAGGACCUAUAUAUAUAUAUAUAUAUAUAUAUAUAUAUAUAUAUAUAUAUAUAUAUAUAUAUUACACAACUUGUGUGCUAUUUUCAUUGUAAGUCAAUUAAAUAAAGGAGGUCCAGUAAAUAUUAUUUGGCGUGCAGAGGGGGGAUGAACUGAACUGAACUGAACUGAAGUGAACUGAACUGAAGUGAGGAGGCUCAAACUCUCACUGCGGCUUGGGCGGCAAAAUGCUCACCUUCUUAUGAUUGACACGUUCGGACUCCCGUCGUCGUCGAAUUAAUAACAAUAUAUAUAUAUAUUGUGACAGCAUGAAUCAAUGACUGAAAAAAUGAGAGAGAUCCGCGGCCACUUUUGUCUCUCAGGCCUUUUUGAAGACCCAAGUGCAUGUUACUUAAUUGUCAUCAAUUAAUAAUUAAUCUACUCAUUUUUCUCACAAGAAGCACGAGAACGGCAAGGAAAUUAAAGUGGUGGUUUUGGGAGACCACGGUAUUGGCCCUUGGCCUAUCUCGAUCGGAAGAAUUUAAUCGGAUUUAGCUAGACGAGGCAAUUGCUGUCUCAACUAAUCGUUCGUGACUCGUGGUGACUGAUAUUAUAAUGUAAUGGAGAAAUUAAUCACUACACUAACCGCCCCUAACGGCGUGAAGAGUUCAUUGUAGUCGUCAGCUCCACGGAAGAGGCUAGGACGAUUUUUGGGUCAGCCUUUGGGCCGUAAGCUUGGCCCCUUAGCAGAAAUCUUUCACACUGGAACCUCCUGCUGCUGCUGCUUUUGAAAUACUAGACUAAAUUAUUAUUAUUAUUAUUAUUUUUGAGAGAUAGGUAGUGCGCUACCCGCUUCAUUUAUUUUAUUUAGAAAUAAACUUAGCUGAAAAUAUGAAUCAAGUAGGAUUUGAACUUGGGAUCUCAGAUACCAACCACCAAAACCUUUGCUACUUGCUCUAGGGCCGGUCGGUAUACUGGACUAAAUUUUGAACGUGUAGCUUCUGGUGCAAUGCUAUCUUGUACAUCCAAAACGUGUAUGUGUAUUUUACAUUCUAUUUAUUUAAAUGUUAAUAUUUUAAUACUAGCAUUAUUAAAUUUUUUAUUAUUAAAAGUAUUUUUAAAAAAUAUCUAAAUUCUUGGAUUUGAAAAUUUUAUAAGCAGCAAUCUUUUUCUUUUUUUUUUUCCCUAGCUAUGAGAAAUAAUAUUUUCGGUACAGAAAGAAGAAAAAAAAAAAAGAAAAAGAAAAUUCUGGUAAACUAUUUGAGAUUAUUUUUACCGGCUACAUGGUAGCUUAUUGCAAUUUUCAUCCCCCCUGAGCGAAUUAUUAUUAUUAUUAUUAUUAUUUUGAAUGCAAUUUUUAUAUAAUAUAGUAGAACGAGAAAUAAAUUGCUUGCACUCUUUAUACUCAAGUAUUUAUUUAACAAACAAAAAAUAAAAAUAAUUUUUUCUUUCUUUUUUGGCUGCUUUUAAUUUUUGUAAAUAGUUCUCAUUCAUCAACCCUUCCGAACACACUAUAGACUAAUCAACUACCACAGUAAGAGGAACUCCUUGCUGCUUAUAUAUCUAAUAAUAUAAAAUUUGUGUUAAAACCAAAAGAGACAACGAUUCCAAAUAGGAUCUAAAUAUAAAACGUUAAAUCCAAAAGUGUCUUUGUUUGUUUAAUUAAUAAAUAUCUGAAUGUUGUACUGUUUCACUGCUGCCGCCCAAUUUCCUCAAUUUAUCAGAGAGAUUUAGUGCUCAUCACCAGUUUGGUGGGUCGUAGGGGUUUUCAUUUCUAAUUGAAGGAGCUUCUGCCUCUGAGAAUUGAAAAGAGCCGAGUAUUUCGGCCAAACGAUAAAGCAGCACUGUAUAAAUUCGGUAUAAUGGAUGAAUUCGAAUUGUCCAAACUAGCUGAAAUAACUAAGCUAGGUAAGCCGUAAUAAUUAAUCAACCAUAGAAAUGUGCAUUAUUUUAUAUUAUAUCGUCGAGUCUUUUUAGAAAUCAAAGCAGAAGAAAUAUUAAAAUUCAUUCAGAAGCCUAGAUGAAUGAAAUUAAUCCUUGUCGGCGGUCUUGAUAUGAAUCAUGCAUGAAUGACUAAUUAAAAUGAUCGAGUAUCGGCAAAUGUUGAGAGAAUCUUAAAUUUGAAAGUGAUGAUUUAAGUAAAAUUACUUGUCAAGUCCUUGCGGGACUCGUCUUCCUGCGCGAAAUAAUCAAAUCUGUCUCUCCACUUGCUUGUCCGGAUCUACAAUUAAACCUGUCUCUCCACUUACUUGUCCGGAUCUACUUGUUUUAUGACUCAGAGAGAGAGAGAGAGAGAGAGAGAGAGUGUGAGUGUGUUUGAGCAACGUUGUAUUUAAUUUAUCACUUGAGAGGGUAGAUGAAUACAGCCGAAUUAAUAGCACAUUAUUAUUUGAGAGCGAAUAAAUACAAUUAAAUUAUCCAUAGAAGAUGAAGGCCGCAAAUAUACAUAAAUCUCUAGCCGUCCAAGAGAGCGAACAGAAAAGUGCACCAAGCAGAGCAAAGCUACAAACAAAAAUAAAAAAUUACGAGCUCCUAAAAAACUACAUUUAUUAUAUAUUUAGGAACUCAAAAAAACACUUGAGUACUUGACUUUGGCGUGCGCAAUCUCGAUACUAGCUAGUGAAUACUUUCAGAAGAUUCUGACAAAUCUCGAAGAAUAAUUUUGUUCAGAGUUUGGAUAAUUGCAAAGCAGUAAACUGUCAGAAAAUUCUAAGUAAAUCAUCCAAUCAAAGAGCAAGACUAAGAUCCAAACUUGCUCCGUCUUGAAGACGCUGUUCCAAAUGAUUCUCCUCAUCUUUCCUUAAUUUUCCCUCCUCCUUUUCGUUGCCGGAGGGAUGCUUGAAGUCCUCCAACUGGAAAGUCGGCCUCCACGUCGGCAGCGGAGGUGGCGGUGGCGGUGGCGGUGGCGGUGGCGGUGGCGCCUCCUCCUCCUCCGUCCUCAACCUUUUGCUGCUUGCGCUGCCACCGGCGUCCCCAUGCUGCCGCCUAAAGAGGUCCUUCAGAGCUCUUAAGUUCCCGAGCAGCGCAGAGAACUUGUCCAUCUCUUCACCUAAUUCCUCCUCCUCUUCACGUUUUCCCGCAGCUUUCCCUUUCGCGGCGCAUGGAUAAUUAGGACCUGUUGCGGCGGCCGCCCCUGCUGCCGAUCUCUUUCUACUACUCUCGUAACUCUCCUCUUCCAUGUCGAUCAACGCCGAGUUCAUCAACGUGCGUACGUAUAUAUAUAUAUAUAUAUGUAACACUACCUUCUCCUUCUCCUUUUUAUUCUGUUCGUCUUAGAAGAAUUAAGAGAGAGAGAGAGAGAGAGAGAGAGAGAGAGAGAGAGAGAAAAGGAGAGGGAGGAGAAGAGAUGUACCGCACGGCGUUCUCUCGCCCCAGGCUAGCUAUAUAGGUGUAUAUAUUUUUAUAUAUAUGUAUGUAGCGUCGAUCACUCGGCCUUUUUUUGGGGCGCGCGAGACAUGUAUAUAUAUGUGUGUCUGUGUGUGCGUGUGUUUCGUGCGAUCGAAGGCUCUUGAUAAAAAGAAAAGCGGAGGAGCACUGAUGACGCCGGCCCACGAAUUCCACACCAGCAGAGGGCUCAUUUAUUUAUUUAUGAUGGAAGUUGGUUCCUUUCUCUGGGUUGGCGCGGCGUGUCAUCAUCCGUCCUUUGACGGAACCGCCCUUCUUUCAACUUCUCUUUCCAUGCCCUGCACAUGCGUCGGCACCAAACUAGCUAGGUCCAAUCCAAUGCUCAAUUCCUUUGUCGGUCGUACCUAGCGCAGGUUAAAUUUUAAAUUCUAAUUUAUUUAUAUUUUUAAUUAAAUUUAUUUUUAAAUUAAAUAAGUGAGGUGGAUAACAUAUUUUUUAUUUUUUUUUUAUUUUUUUGAUGGAGAAAUAACUCACAUGAGAUAAUCACUAUGCCCUUCAAUUGUUAUGGCUAAUAACCUGAUAUAUUGCUAGCUUUGUUACAAAGUUUGAUAGAUUUUUUUUGAAUAGAAGGCAAUAUUAUAAAUGAUCAUCCAGAGCAUUUUCUUUUCAAUAAAGUGAAGCUGGAACGUCUGAAUUGAAUUUUACAAAAAAAGAAAAAAAUUGAAUAACCACCAUGUAAUUUUAUCAAGUUCAAUUGUUGGAAAAGGUCUUCUACGAAAAUAAUAUAUCUAAUAAAAAACUUCCGCAUUGCAGAAACAAAUAGAUCAAAUUUUUUUAUUUGAAUCGUAUUUUAUUUUGAAUAUUAUUAUAUUAUUACUUAUUAAAUUUUUUAUCAUUUUAAUUAUAUUUGGUAAGAUAAAUUUUAUUUAGUACAUAUCUUCUGUAUAUAUGGUGGUGCAUUUUUUCUUUUUUUCCAAAAAAAAGAAUUGUUUGGAUAAGAGAAUUAUCUAAUUAAUUAUUGAAACAGGAGGAGGAGAUGGGCAUUGGUGGAAAAGAGAUGUAAUUGAGUUGUGGGGUUUGUGGCUGGGUUGGGUCGGUUUCAACGGACUCGACUCAGCAAGGAAAUUGUGCCGUCUAAGUUAUUGACGCCAGCACGAUUUGGCUGACGUGUAUGAGUGUAUCUGUGACGUCAUACCUGCUGACGUCACAGCAGUUGCCUGACUCUCAGGAUGCGCCGCCCAUUAGAGGACAGAGGGAAAUUAAUUCUAAGCAGACGUCCCCAAAUACGAUACGAAUUCUAUUCUCUCCCGGGAGACAAUUUUGAUUUUAUUUUAUAAUACCGGCGUAAAAUUUAUAAUCUUUACACACACACACACACACACACACACACACACAUAUAUAUAUAUAUAUAUAUAUAUAUAGAGUUGAGCUAAAAUACUUAUAAAAGUAUUAUGUGAGUUGUGCUUUUGAGUUUUUAGUCAUUAGAUGGAGAGAUGUGAGGUUGAGAUGAUGGUGGUAGAUGGUGUUAGGUGGUGGUAGGUGAAAUAGUGUUUGAUCCAAGGGCUAUUAGUAAUCAAGUAGUAGAUCCAAUGACUAAAAACCUAAUAGCAUCAUGGGGGUAAUACUUGUAAAAAUAUUCUAGCUCAAUUAUAUAUAUAUAUUAUAAUACAUAUAUUCAAGCUCCCCACAAAUUGAUUUUAGUAGAAUUGGUGGUCAUUUGAAGACACGAAAAAGAGUAUAUUCAAGUAGUAAUCCAAUGAAACUAAAAACCUAAUAGCAUCAUAGGAGGUAAUAACUUGUAAAAAUUAUUUAGCUCAAAUUAUAAUAUAAUAUAUAUAUAUAAAUGAAUAUAUAUAUAUAUAUAUACUAUCUCGCCACAAUUGAUUUAUUAGUAGGAUAUUCGUUGUGCCAUUUGAAUACAGGAAACGAUAAUAUCUUGUAGAAAUAAUUCAGCCGAAUCCUAUGUAUUGUAGCACAAGCUAUACAGCUUCCAAUCGGCCAGUGAUUACCUUAGGGGUUGGCCUCAGCUUUUAAAAAAGCGCUUUUUGGCUGAAAAAUAAUUUCGCUAAUAGAGCGCGUUUGUAACUCACUUUUAUAAUAAAUAAAAAUCUGAUCUGGCUUUUAUGCCCAUAGAUAACUGUAUUGAAAGCUCAAGAAUCAGAAGCGAAAAAGCUGGCUUCUGAAAAUCUGAUUAUGAUUUUGAAUUAAAACUUCAUUUUUAUUUUAUUUUAAUUCAAAAUAUUUAAAUUUAAUCUUAUUUUAUUUCAAUUCAAAUUUCAAUUCCAUUUGAUUUCAAAUUUCAAAAUUAUUUAAUUCAAAAUUAAAAUUUCAAAUUUCAUCAAAUAUAUAAUUUUUAAUUCAAAUAUAAUUUAAAAUUUUAAAAUUAUAAAAUUUAAAUUUUAAUAUUCAAAUUUUAAAUUUAAAUAAUCAAAUUAAUUUAAAAAUAUCAAAUUUUAAAUUUUACAUAUUCAAAUUUAAAUGAAAUGUAAAUAUCAACAUUUUAAAUUUAAAUUUUUAAUUCAUAAUAUUUUACAUUAAAAUUAAAUUUAAUUUAAAAUUUAAAUUAUUUUAAAUAUUAAUAUUUAUUUUUAAUAUUCCAAUAAUUAUUUAUAUUUUUACAUUAAAUUUAAGUAAAUAUUUAAAAUUCAAAUUUUUAAAUUUAGAUUAUAUUUAAUUAAAUUUAAAUUUCAAAAUUUUUAAUUUAGAUUAAAUUUUAAAAAUUUAAUUCUAAAUUUAAAAAGUUGAAUUUUAAUUAAAUAUAUUUUUUAUAUAUUAAUUUUUAUAUUCUAAAAUUUAUAAAUUAUAUAUUAUUUUUUAAUUUAUAUUUAUAUUUUUAAAUUUAAAUUUUAUAAUUAUUUAAAUUUUGAAAUUUAAAAAUUAAAUUAUUUGAAAUUUAAAAAAUUUAAUUUAAUUUCAAAAUUGAAAUUUAAUUUUAAAUUUUUUAAAAUAAAAUUAAUAAAAAUAUAAUUUAUGGCAAAUAUCAAAAAAAAAAUUGUCAAACAAUUUUUCAAAUCACUUCAAAAAAAGUCACUCUAAUCUAAACUCUUGGUCCAAAUACUCUACAGCUUUAACCAAAAUCACUCUCCAAACUAAAUUAUUUUUCAGAAAUCACUUUUUCAGAAGCUAGCAAACAUGGCCGAUGCCAACUAAGGGACCUCUUGACCUUUUUUUUUUUUUUUUUUCUCGUUCGGCUCUCUGAGGGCGGCCUUACUCACCCAUAAGUAGUUUAGUUUAUAUCUUAAUGAAUAGCGGGUAGCGUGCUAUCUUUUUCUCAAAAAAAAAGUAUAUAUAUAUAUAUAUAUAUGAGUUGAGCUAGAUACUAUCGGUAGUAAAACGAGGCGUUUACCUACCGAUUUGUUUCGAUGAUAAAGCUUCCAAAUCUGACACGGCUCUCGUAAAUAUGAUCUAUACAUUAAACUAUCUAAAAUAAAAUUAACGCACUCUCGAUAUUGUUCUUUUGUCCAACAAUGAACAAAAAAUGAAAGGCUGAAAAAUAAAAUACUCUUUUAAAUAUGAUGAUGAGUCUUGUAUCAGCAUCAAGACAGUAUACGAUCUUGUUUUAAUAGUUUAAAAUAAUUCUAACAAAAAUCAAUUGAUGGGAGUAUCUUUUACGGCGUUAACGAGAAAACGCCUCUUAUUUGACUAUAAAUUACAAAUUUUGAAACAUUUGAUCCAAUUAGGCAAAUGAUGUCGAAAAAAAAGACUUGAAAUGUGAUUUCUAACACUUCAAUGAUAGAUUCAAUCGUUCAAAACAGCCGAUCGCAUUUGAAAGUCUAUCAUCAAAAACAAAUCGGUAUUAAAAACGAGCUCGUUACUACCGAUAGGUAUGUCCCUAACUCAACUCUCUCUCUCUCUCUCUCUCUCUCUAUAUAUAUAUAUAUAUAUAUAUAAAAUUAAGAUUCUAUACUUUUAAAAGUAUCAAGUCAUUGAUACUUGUAAAUUUUUGGUCCUUAGAUUAGGAGAUGCGCGUUUAAGAUGAUGUGGCCCAGGGUUAAGUCGUUAGUUGGUUAAAUAGUAUAACUUUACUUUUGUCCGUACAAAUAACAGAGUCCGAAAAGAAAACCCGACCAACUCCCCUGCAAAUUCGGCAGCAGCAGCUGUCGGCAUCUAAUUCCACCGUACGUUAAUGCUAAAGACCCACCGGCCACCGGCGGCAGCGACCGCCAUAAAGCACUCUGACCGGCAGGCAGGAGCGGAAAGUUCCCGAUGAACUCGGCACUGGAGGAACCGAGUUCUCCUGUUUAGGGUUUAGGGUUUAGGGUUUAGGGUUUACCGGUGCCACGUGCUGCCGGCUUUCGACAAAAUUCCGCGGGGUGGAGUGGAGCCGUGGAGGGGGGCUGACUCGGCGCCGAGUUCAUCUCGAAGCCUGAAGUCGGUCGAUAUUUCUGUUUCUCGGCACCGUGAUCUCUUACAACUGUUUCCGAGCGCUCGAGCCUUCGCCGUCGCCUCCUUGUCUCCCGUGGCUGAGCCCUCUAACGUCCCUAACGCUAACUCGAACCUUCGAUCUCAACUCCGAUCGAGGAGAACGCCGAGGCCACCGCAAUCUAUUGCUCCGGAGGGAUCCGCCGACUCUUCAUAUCUGCUUAAUUAGGGUCGGUCUCAUUGUUUCUCUGCUUAGUUAUCUGUCUCAUUCGUUCUUCGUUUAGGCUGAGAAAAUUACUGCUCUUUAAUUAAGUUCCUUGAUAAUUUUCCCCGCCUGUUGUUAAUUCGUGCUAGAGUUUUUUAUGGGUCCGAACUUGAUUGUUUCUGAUUUAAGGUCGUAUUUUCCUUCAAUCAAUCGUGAGAACUAGUAAAUGGUCCUACGCUGAUUUUCUUGUUCAGUUUGGCGGAUGCUCGUUUUUUAAGUUCGUUUUGAUUAGACUGGGAUUGUGUCCGGAGCAAAGUGGGAAGCAGCAACCUGUGCUUCAUUUAAGCUGAACUUACUAUAGUAUGCACAAGAUAAUGAUUUCGUAGAUGUGGAGAAAAUAAAAAAAAAUUAAUUUGCGUUAGGAGAGGAUUUGAUCUUUGAGGCACACAUUGGCCGAAGAGUUAAAUACUGCAUUCUGCGUGGUUGUAUGAAUAUAAACCGACGCGUCUUUACGUUUAUGGUUUGAACAGAAAUUGGGAGUGAUUUAUUUCAUGCGUUGCAUAUUGUGUUGAAUAGGAUAUAUAUGUCUCUAUGAACUGGAUUGACGUGGGGAACUUUUUUUGGAAAUAUGUUCAGAUUGGAAGUUGGAAAAAUGGGGCAGAGGCAUUAAUUACAUCGGAUUUAGAUUAUGUCUAUUGUUAUUCCUAAUCUGAUGUGUGUAACAAAUCCAACCAAACAAGAAGACCCAUGGCUGAAGAAUCAAAAGAAACUAUGACACGAAAACCGUACUUUGAUAAUAGUCGUUUUACUGACUUAUAAGACUGCAAGAUCAUGAAUUAUUUUGCAUUUACCAUGAUCAAUCUGUAGGUUACUCUGUCCCAUCUAAAUUAUUUCAUUUACACGGUAAUCACAUGUUGUUUGGUACUAACCUCUUUUGUUCUGCUUCUUUAUGCGCUGUUUCUGUUCUCUGCACUUUUGUUCAUUGUGUUUUAAUCAGUCGGAGCUAGUCUUAGGGAGGGCAUUCUGCUGGUUAGUAUAUAGUAAUUUUAAUAUGCCACUAGAGUUAAUUUUUACAUGCCUCAUAGCUGGAUGAAAACCAAUUUUGGCUUUGUAGAUGUUUUAUAUAUCACAAGGUUUGGCGGACUUUUGUCCUUCUUCUUCUCAAAAGAGAUCUCAGCCAUUUUCCUCUGACGAAUGUCUGCGAUAUCUUCGUAGGCACGCCAAUUUUGUGGUCCUGCCAUAUACCUUCUUCUUUUACCGUGCAGCAUACAAAGAUGGCCUUAGUCACAAUCCAAAGAACAACCUACGCUAAGUUCAUGAUCUCAACUUAUAAAUCAUCGUGACAUCUAAAGAAGGCUUCUUCAAAAAGUUGUAGUCUAUUACACUUGAUAAGUGGCAGUGCACUGAUGGCUAUUGCUGCCCACUUGGAUAACAAUGUCGGUUUGGCAAUCAAUUACUUCUUUUUUUUUUCUACUCUCUUCUCUGAUAAUAUCUGAUAAUAAUUACUAAGCAUAACAAACAUCUAUUGUACUCUACCCGAGUGGUGUUCAUCUACUUUCUUAAAGUACUUUCUGAACCAUCAUGUAUUUGUGCACAGUUUAAACUAUGUCUCACCUUCAACUAGGAAGUCACACAUUUUUAUCUAGGAUUAAUUACAAAUCUAGACCUGAAGUUUGACCUGAGUUUCAAUUUGUCAUUAGAAUGUCAAGUGUAGCAAUUAUCUUCCAGAAGUGUGACCUUGCUUUCAAUUUCCUUCCUAAAUUUCAUUUCAAUUUGCAAGUGAUUACCCUGCAUAUAUUGUAUGCAAACAGAUAGUCGUCUUUGUGAUUGAUGGUAUUUUUUCACUUCAACCAGAUUGUUUUCUGUCUGGUAAACUAAUUCCUUAAUUCUGAAUUUGGAGACGCCUGACAAAUACUUUUAUUGUAACAUAUAUUGCACGCUAGUACAUGAAUAUGGUUCUUAGGUAAGUUAAAAAUGAAAUCACAAUCUACCGAAUCAGGAAAUGAAUUUAUUUAAUUGGAGUAGAAUUUCAACUGGUUAUGAUGCUGUAGGCUGGUAUAUGUUUCAUUCAAAUUCUCAAUGCUUGUCAUACUGUGUUGCUUCUACAUUUAUUUUUGACGUGUAGUAUAAACUUAUAGCAGUAGCCUGUACCGUUGUUACCGUCUGGAGAAAAGGAAAAACAGGACUUUGCUGUUUACUGAUAAACUUAUAUCACUAGCCUGUACAGCGUCUAAAUCUAUGCGUAAUAGAAGUAGGGGACUUUGCUGGUUUCAUAGAGCUCAAGACAAUCAAUGACGAUGAACUAUUAUUAAGUUGCCCUAACAAUCAAUGGUACAACCGACCGUCCCUAGAGCAAGUGGCAAAGGGUUUGAUGGUUGGUACCCGAGACCCAAGUUCGAAUCCUAGCUGAUUCACAUUUCCAGCUAAGUUUAUUUCUAAAUGAAAUAAACGAAGCAGGUAGCGUGCUACCUAUCUCUCUCAAAAAAAAAAAAAAACAAUCAAUGGUACAAUCUGCACAAUUUCAUUUUUUUCACGUUUAUGCUGCCCCAUUGUCUGGGUGGUCCUGCGUGUGCUCUUCGCGCUCUUCAUCUGAUCACUAUUUAUCCCUGAAUCUUUUAAUUUUUUUGAGAUUAAAGCUUAUCCCUAAAUCUGAUUAUCUUAGAAAUGAAAUUUAUUGGUUCUUGUGGCUAGAGAGUUGAAAAUGUGACUAUCAAGGGCCAUACUGCAGAUUAAAACUCGAUCCGAGAUUUUGGGUUGGCUUACGAGUGAUUGAACUUAUAUUUGAUCUCAAACCCAGAUAAAUAUCAAACACAAUGAAAUACAGGAACUAAAAUUUGAAACUGGGAGUUGUUUGGGUUAUUUAAUUAGUCUGCCAGCCCUCUUCCUUGCCUUGGUUGAACUCUAUUUCUAGAGAUCAGAUUCUUGGACAGUUGAGGAAGCAAGGGAACUUUAAAAGGAGUUGGCGGCCAAACCAACUUUCUUUCUUUGGUGAUUAGUAUACUAGAGUUUACGUCUAUUGACAUCCACUUGAUGCCACACCUUAUCAAUUUUAGAAGAGGGGAAAAAAAAAGGAAAAAAAAAAAAGUAAUUUGGAAAAUGGUAGCCAUGGAGUUGCUACAUUUUCUGGGGGGUGGGGGAAUUUGUGAGUUGGUACGUUCUUAGUUGGUUGGUAUUGAAUAUUGAAAGCGACCCACCCAAAAUUCGAAGCCAGGAAGCUUUUAUAAUGACACAUUUUCUUAGGCCCUUUUUUUUUUUUUCUUUGCUUUUCUUUUUCUUUUUGUGUGCGUGCCCGCGCGUGUUUUGUAAAAUAAUUUUCUUUCGACACUUGCUAAUUCCUCCUCCAAUAGAGAAAAGCUUUCUCUAUAGCACAAUGCUACUAUAUAAAAUGCCUUUUGGGAAUCACCUAUAUGGUUUAGUAGUCAAAAUUCUUUCCUUAUUUUUCUAUUUUUUAGCUUCAAAAAAAUUACUUCAGUUUUUUUUAACCGUACCUAGAGCAAUGGACUAAAGAUUUGAUGGGUGAUGCUUGUGAUGGAAACUUGAAACAAGUUAAAAUUCUUAACUCUAAAAAAUUUGAAAAACCCAGUGGUUUACCCGUCAUUGUUUUCAAUUUCAAAAACAUAAAGUAAUCAAAUCCCAGCCUGCGAUUAGAUUUGUUUUCUUCGACCUCUUCUUCCUGCACACACACAUAUAUAUAUAUAUAUAUAUAUAUACACACGCCCGCGGCUCAGGAUGAACGCUGGCGGCAUGCUUAACACAUGCAAGUCGGACGGGAAGUGAUGUUUCCAGUGACGGACUGGUGAGUAACGCGUAAGAACCUGCCCUUGGGAGGGGAACAACAACUGAAAACGGUUGCUAAUACCCCGUAGGCUGAGGAGCAAAAGGAGGAAUCCGCCCGAGGGGCUCGCGUCUGAUUAGCUAGUUGGUGAGGCAAUAGCUUACCAAGGCAAUGAUCAGUAGCUGGUCCAAGAGGAUGAUCAGCCAUACUGGGACUGAGACACGGCCCAGACUCCUACGGGAGGCAGAUCUUUUUGAUAUAUAUAAGGUAUCCUCCGGAUAAUUCAAAUCGAAGCAAUUUGAUGUCUGACUCAGGCCUAUAUGAUCGAUCGAUAGAAAUACUCCAACACUCCUUGAAGUACUUGGAAAUCUGUUUCAAAUUGUCAAGUAGCAAAUAUUUCUUUAACACGAUCUGAUUAUGAGUUAUUAAAUGGUAAGAUGAAUAAAAAUUCGCUAUUUUAGGUACAAUAGCGCCUAAGAGACCUAAAGAAUCCCUAAUUGGAAUUAGGGGAUCCGAUUCUUUUGUCAAAUUGUUAUAUUUCGAACUAUUGAAUGGACCAAUUCGAGAACAAUUGGAUGAUGACAAAAUUAUCAAAGAUUGGCAUUCCUUAUUUCGAUUCAACAACGUACCAAUAGUUCCUUGAUGUUGGCUAAGUGAUUGAAUCUUCGCCUUGGAAUAAAAGGGAUUGAUAUUGGUGCGAUCUAAUCCAUUAUCGGGAAUCAAUCCAGAACUUGCCCUAUCAUACCUUUUUCUGGUAUACGAAAUAGUGGACUUGACUAACUCAAUUUUUAUGACACACAAUCUUUUUCUCUAGUCUCACAUUUGCUAGUGCUAUCCUCAUCUUUUCUCGACAUUGAUUCUACGACGCAAUCACUGAAUAAAGUAGAGAUUAUAUUCACCCUCAAAUCUUCAUGAAAAUAUCUUUAUGAAAAUACAGCUAUCAUCAAAAAGCAUCUCACUGUCACUAACUGAAAAAUAAGAUAAUUUGAACGAAAUUGGAAUACUAUCAAUAGCACAAAGUGUUUUGUGCUAUUAAAUUUUCAGUUCUUAAAUAAAAAAUAUAUAGUUAGGAUAAUAUGGGCCUCCUAAGGUUGAGUGAGUUAUUGGUUGAAUAGUAUAAUUUAACGGGUAAAAAAUAUACUACCAAUUAUAUCAAAAUAUAUAUAUAAAGAACUAUGCUACUAUACUAUUAAUAGCACUAAGCAUUUGAUGCUAUUAGAUUUUUAGGUCUUGGAUGAAGAGAUAUGCAGUUAGAAUGCUGGUGGUUAGAAUGAUAGUGUUUCCUUAGAAUUGAGUGGUUAGUUAGUCGAAUUGUAUGAUCUAACGGAUGGAAAUGGUUCAAGAAGUAGAUCUAACGGCGAAAAAUUCGAUAGCACUAAGCAUUUAAUACUAUCGAUAGUAUAGUAGCUGAAUAUAUAUAUUCACUUGCAAUCCAUUUGGUUCGGGUAGAAGGAGUGGGAUAAAGGGGUUAUCCUUUUCUUAUUCCCGUAAAUAAUUCAAUUUUCAUCCAAACGCAAAAUUGAUCUAUUCCAAAUUUAUAUCUAUCACUGAAAUAGCUAAUUCUUACUUAUAGCUUAACCGAACGAAAUCACAUUGUUUUUACGUUUUAGGGGAUGUUCUUAUUCUCUCGUGGCUUAUUCUUUGUACCAAUAAAAAUUAAAUAAUUUGGUUAUGGUAGUUGGUGAGAAAUAUUUAUAUUUAUAGUCAUUAAUGAAACGAUAAGACCCAUGGAAAAUGGUAUUUACAAGCUGAUUUCAGCUCUCUCUUUUUGUCUCACACUGCUGUUUUGCCUUUUUCUUCUUUUUGUUUUAUAUUCCUCAAUCGACCAAAAAUUAGGAUAAAUUACUGUCGAUCUAAUUAGAUCUUAUAGAUAAAAAAUCCUUCCCCUGUUUAUCAAAAAUAUUGGAUUUUAUUAAAAUUACAUCGUCCGUAUACGGAAUGAGCAAAUUGCUUAUUUAACUAAAAUUUGAGCGUCACAUGGAGGCUUAAAAUAGCCGAAACAAGCCUGGCCACCCAAUUUGGGACGAUGCGGUACGCAUGAAUGCAUGAGUGCCGCGUAGGAGGAGAUGGUCGCACAUUGCAGUCCAUACAUUUAUGCGCAGAUAAGACAUUUGUCGUGCGGUGAGGACGCCGCAGCGCACAAGAGUCUUUAUCAUAUCAUAACAAUAAUAACAGCUGCAUUACUAACCGAUCGUUUCUGACACAAAAGGUAAAAGAUUUGAAGGUUGCUGUUCGAGAUCUCAAUUUCGAAUUUUAAUUAUUACAUAUUUUUAACUAAAUUUAUUUUUUUUAAAAAAUAAACAAAAUAGGUAGCAUAUUAUCUAUCUCUAAAAAAAAAGCAACAACAGCUACAUUAUAUAAAAUAAAAUACAUUGUAAAUAAAUUAAAUUGCGUUAAAUAAAAUUAUAAAAUGUUUAAUCACCGGCAUAUAAUAAUAAUAAUAAUAAUAUAUUAAAAUAAUAAUUGUAAAAUUUUAAUAUUUUUAUAUUAUAUAAAAAUGUUAUUUUGUUGAAUAUUAUGAAUUUAUGUGAAAUAAUUGGUAAAAAAAAGACCUUUUGAGAGAAAGGUAGGAUGCUACCCGCUUCAUUUAUUUUGGGUCUCGGAUACCAAUCAUCAAAAGCCCUUUUACCACUUGCGCUAGGGACGGUUAGUACUUCAUAAUGACUUUCAAUUGUAGCAAAACAUUUAUUAAAAAAAUUAAUUAAACUAAGUAAUAGUAGAUAUUAAAGUUUAGCUUAAAACUUAAAAUAUUAGGAUCAAAGUAAAAAAAAAAAAUCAUUGAAUAAAUCUGAAAGAAAGAAAACAAAAUAAACUAAUGAAAAAUAAAGAAAAUAAAGGAAUUUAUCGAUGAACAAUAAUAUUUAUACAUCGAAAAUAAGUAAGUUUUAUAUCUUUUUUAUUCAAAAAAUUAUUUUCAUACAAAUUGUAUAUUUAUUUUUUAUACUAAAAUUUUAUUAUUAUAAUUAUUUUGUUAGAGAUAGGUAACAUACUACUCGCUUUGUUUAUUUCAUUUAAAAACAAACUUAGUUGGAAAUGUGAAUUUUGAACUAGGGAUCUGGAGAACCAACAAGCACUUUGCCACUUACACUAUGGACGAUCGAUAAAAUCUUAUUAUAUUACUAUUAAAAAAUUAUAAUAAUUAUCCUGAUAUUUGAGGUUUGAAGCUCAAAAUCUCACUUUCUCUAAAUAAUGAUAAUAAUAAUAAUAAUAAUAAUAACAUAGUUAUCUAAAUCUUUGAAGGAAUUGGCUGCAAAAUUUACAUCGCGAAGCGAAUUAUGGGUUGGGUGUUCAAGCAGCAUUUAUCUUUUACACUCGUUCAAAGAGGUAGCUGCUGCGGCUCCUCUGGUGUCCUCUUGUUGUGCAGGACGGUCAGCGAGCCAAAUAUGAAUUGACUCAAUCAUUAAAAUAACAAGUUAAAAAAUUCAGUUUGUAUUCAAUUUAUUUAUUAACGAGUCAAAUAUAAACUAGUUUGCGAGCAGUAAGUUAAAUUGUCAGUUCUAUUACUGAGUUAAAAAAAUAAAAACAUAAAAUUUUAAUCUAAUAAUUAAAUUUUACAUAAUAUGAUAUAUAUAUAUAUAUAUAUAUAUAUAGAGUCCGGCUACUAUGCUAUCGGUAGCACGGAGCGCUCCGUGCUACCAAGUUGUUUUCGAUGAUGCGGCUUCCAAAUCGACGAUCGGCUCCGUUAGACUUGAUCUACACUUAUUGAAGUAUUUGCCAAACUAAAUUUCAAAUUUUUUCGACUUCAUUGACUAGUGAUCAAAAGAUUCUCAAAUUGACAAUUUUAAUGGCGAUGUGUGUGUGUUGUGAGUUUAACGGUGUAAAACAAUCCAAAUGGGAUGAAAUUUUAUAGAAAAUUUUUUUCACUAUUUAGAGUAAGAUCAGUAUAUCUGAUCUUGAAUUUAAAUCGUUUAUCAGCAUUUUUUAUGAGAUUUUUAUUUUCAGCGUUCAAUUUUAGACUACUUGUUUGAUAGGUAAAUGAUAUCGAAAAGUUAUGAAAUUUAGUUCUAAAUACUUUCAAUAGUGUAGAUCAAGUCUAACGGAGCCGAUCGUCGAUUUGGAAGCCGCAUCAUUGAAAACAACUUGGUAGCACGGAGCGCUCCGUGCUACCGAUAGUAUAGUAGCCUAGUUCUAUAUAUAUAUAUAUAUAUAUAAUAUAUAUAUAUUAUAUAUAUAUAUAUAUAUAUAUAUAGAUAGAUAGUUCGACUGAAAUACUAUCAAUAACACUAAAUAUUUGGUGCUAGCGAGUUUUCCACCGUUAGAUUUAACUCUUUGAUUAUUUUUACCGGUUAGAUUAUACUAUUCAACCAACCACUCACUUAACCCUAGAGGACCCACAUCAUUCUAACCAUACAUUUCUCAAUCCAAAGAUUAAAAAACUAAUUGCACCGAUAGUUUGGUACUAUUGAUAGUAUUUCAGUCUAGUUAUAUAUAUAUAUAUAGAGAGAGAGAGAGAGAGAGAGAGAGAGAGUUGAUUUUGUGUGUUAUUAGGAGUAUGGAGGUCUCCGUGCUCCUGAGCCAAUUUCAAUAAUGGAGCUUUCAAAUCGAUGAUCGGCUCCGUUAAACUUGUUUUAGUGUAUUUGAAAAUAUCUAAAAAAUAAAUUUUGUAAUUUUUCGAUAUCAUUUAGCUAACGAUCAAAAGAGUUUAAAAUCGAGAGGUAAAAAUAAAAAUUUCACAAAAAGUGAUUUAAAAAUAUCUAAAAAAUAAAUUUUGUAAUUUUUCGAUAUCAUUUAGCUAACGAUCGAAAGAUUUUAAAAUCAACAGCUAAAAAUAAAAAUUUCACAAAAAGUGAUUUGAAAAUAUCUAAAAAAUAAAUUUUGUAAUUUUUCGAUAUCAUUUAGCUAACGAUCGAAAGAGUUUACAAUCAACAGCUGAAAAUAAAAAUUUUACAAAAAGCGAUAAUAUAGCACUAAAAUUUUCAAUCAGAACAGUAAAUAGUAUACAAAAAUGUUUAUGAAAAUUUUAUUUAAUUUGAAUAUUUCUACACUGUUAAACUUGCAAACGAUAUUAGCUCAAUCAUUGAAAAUUAUUGAUGUUGAAUCCUUUCAAUCACUAGAUAAAUAAUAUCAAACAAUCAUUCAAUUUAUUUUCUAAAUAUUUUAAAUAUGCUUGAUCAAAUUUAACUGAACUAAUCGUCAGUUUAAAAAUUUUAUCAUAAAAAAUAAUUUAAGAAUAGGAAGUCGUCCGUCCUCCUAUUUGUCUUCUUAUUUUUCUUUUUCCGGAGACGCUACAGGAUCCGCCCCCAUUUCUCCUUUUUCUCCUUACGGUCAAAUCAUCUCUAUUUUUUCAACUGAGCUGACACCGGCUCGUGUUUGCUCGUUAAAAUUUCGAUCCGAAAACUUAAGUUAUUUUUUGGCUUUAUUAGAAGAAGGAUUUUUCUCGAACUUUUUUUAAAGCGAACGCAAAGAGGCACACGAAUAUCGCGCUGAAUUACCGACCAAGUGCGCACCCGCAUCUUUUUUUAAUUUUAAUAUUUUUUGGGGUAAGAGUACGCUACAGGACCCACCACCCCCCACUUUUCCCUUUCCUCCUCACAGUCGGGUCACCCCCUCCCUCUUUUCGACUUGCCGUUCGUCGGUGGAUGAAGCUUCCGAGACACCCCCACCACCGCAUCUCCCUCUUCUAACCUUUUCCUAUUCAUCUCUCUCUUUCUCUCUCUCUCUCUCUCUCUCUCUCUCUCUCUCUUUUUGUAUGUAUUAAAUACUUUUUUCUGUCUCUCUCUCUCUCUCUCUCUCUCUCUCUCUCUUUCCGUAUUAUAUUAAAUACUUUUUCCCCUUUUUUCCUUUUUCUUUUUUGGCCCCCUUCAAACUCAUCUCAUCGUUCAUCGGCCUCUUCACGCCUCCUCUCUCUCUAUCUCUCUCUCUCUCUCUCUCUCUCUCUCUCUAUAUAUAUAUAUAUACACACCUAUCACCCAUCCAUUUAUCUAUACAAUAACUCCAAGCGAGAGAAGAGGCCUCUGGUUCUUCUAUCUCCUCUUUUGUUGGAAUUCCUCGUUCUCGAUUGCAAGCAAUUCCCCCAUGGAAGAGGCACAGGGUACGACGCUUCUGCUUCCUCUUUUUUUUUUUUCUUCUUAUGUAUUUAUUAUUAUUUAUAUCAUUUUUGUAUAAAAAAUCAUUUAUUUAUAUCUCCCAUGGAAUUCGCUAUUGAGUCGUCGUCAGUUUUGUUCUUUGGUUUGCUUUUUCCUGUUGUUUCUGCAAAUUUCUCGUCUUUCUGGUCCCUUUUCCAUCAGAUUUAAUCUGAUCGCACUAGUAUCGCUGAAUGUUACCAAAAUUUGAAAUUUUUAUUUGUUUAGGAGUCUGUGUUUCAAUUGGCCUUGUGGUCCUGGGGAAGGAUCUCUUAUCUUUAUCGAGUUAAAAAUUUCUGAAUAAGGAGGCUCCUUGUUCUCGCGGAGGCACAUUUUUUUCCUACUUUUAGCCUUUGGUCUUUCUGAAACCGAAGGGUAAAAUUGCAUGUGGGGUUGUUUGUGUGCAAAAUAGUAAACAUCCUAGAACUAGAACUACUAGUCGGAGUAUCUUUUAAUCAUUCGCAGAUUAUAUGUGUAUAUUUGAUGCAUGCUGUUCUUAUGUGUGAGGACAUGCAUGCUGUUGGAAAUUUUUGGAUUGAUGCUGGAACAAGUUUAGCUGCUUUACACUUCCUUGAUUGUGAAGGAUGAUCGCUUUCCGAAAUGCAUGUUUUUUUUUUUUUUUUUUUUUUUUUUGUUACUUCUCGUUGAGCACCUGAUAGUUAUCUUAUACAUAUUCGGCAGCUAGAUUUGUUCUCGCAGAAACUUCUGAUGCUCCAUCAUUUUUUUUUUCUUUCAGCAGAUGUAUUUGCUGAUGCUAUAUAUUUUUCCUUAAUUCUUCGCGAGUGAUAUUAAUGAUCUGGCUUAUGGUUGUCGGUGCCAUUGUUGCGACUUGCGGUCUUGAAAGCUCUUCUAACCAUCUCAUCAAACUUAGAGCAUAUCAUGUAUCGCGAGAAUUUUUGUUUUGCAUCAUGGUAUUCUUCACUUAGUUUUACUAAGAUUAUUGUUGUCCUCUUACUCACCACGAGUGAUUUUUCUUACAAAUAUGGGUGUUGAUAUCCACUUUUAUGCUUUUAACAGUCUCACUUAAUGAGUAAGUAUUAGGUUAGAUAGACUUAAUAUUUGAUCAUCUAAUUUCUUGGUUUCCAUCACUUGCGAAAUUUGAAAUGGUUUUUAUUCUCCUUCUUUUCUCCUCUAUUAUAUUGUUAGGAGAAACAAAAAUGAUGUUGACGUGUCUUGAAUCUUAAUUGGUUGACCUCUAUGGUUUUUUAAAUCUCUAUUUUGCUGCCAGUUGUGGAGUCCAAGGACGGAACUAUCUCCGUGGCUUCUGCUUUCGCUGGUCAUCAUGAAGGUAAUAGUAAUGCUUGCAUUCGCUCCUGAGAGCAGCUAUAUUCUUUGUCUUCAGACAGGAAUGAUCUGUAUGAGUGUUCUUUUCUUACCUAAGCUCUUGAUGCUUUAAGCAGCUGUACUAGACAGAGACCACAAGUUCUUAUCGCAAGCAGUUGGAGAAGCUUAUCACGGAGUUGAUUGUGGUGAUGGAGGCCCUUUUGGUGCAGUUGUUGUUCGUAACGAUGAAAUAGUUGUCAGCUGUCACAACUUGGUUUUGAAGAACACCGAUCCUACUGCUCACGCUGAGGUGACUGCAAUUAGAGAGGUAACUCCUAGAAAACUCUUUUCGAUUGUUGUUAGUUUGAUUGUAUUUUUGCAUAUAUACUACCCAAAAUGUACAAAUCUGCCUGUAUACCCCUCAAUAUUUUUUUUUCUUUUUCAAAGUUCCCUAAAAAAUUUUCGAUAUGCAUCUAUACCCUUAGAAAUACCUCACGUUUGAGCGUAUAUCUUCUUAGAAAUAAUCCAUAUUUUUGUGAAGCCAUGAAUCCCCUUCCAACUCGAGAGCUUUUUAAACUGGAAUGAUAUGAUGGAGUGUACAUGCUAAGAACAGUAUAUGGAUCAUAGACGUUCUUUUGGUUCCCCAUAUAGUAGCAGCAUAGCUUUAUCUUUUCGUUCUGGUUAUAAAUUUUACUCUAGUCAUAUUAAAACACUUAGAGCAGCACCUCUGUGUUGCCGUUUCUGUUUUAUGACUGGCCAUCCUAGUCAUUCUGCCAAUUACAUUGGAUUUCUCCUAUAGAGCUAGCCUUUUUCUCCCUGUGUUGUCGAGGGCGUAAAUGCAUGCCUUAUAAUAAUGUCAUUUCAUUUGAAGUGUAGAUUCAUCCUAUCUCCUGUGAAGUAGAAUGUUUAGAGUGUUUACUUCUGACAACUGUAGGUCAAAGGGGAUAUUCAGCUCAAAGUUAAAGGGUGCAGAUUUUAGGUGGAUGAUCUUAAUAUAGCCAAUGACCAUUCUAUUUUGUUGUCUGGUUAAAAAGCAGGGCACCGUCAUGUAUUCUAACUUCAUACCUUUUCCAUGUGAAACAUCAAUGACUAUUCACUACAUCUUGCAAAAUCAGUAAUUUAUUUCGUGUAGUCUUCAUUUUGCAUUCCUUUAGAAAACGCAUCAGAUGAUGUAAACUUUAGCAUUUCAUUAGGCGGUCAAUUGAUAAAAUUCUGGGUUUCCGCCUUUAUUUUUAUUUGUCAAAUGCUCGACAAUCUUUCCACACUCUAGGAGACAAUUUUUUAAAGAUCUUGUGAACUAUGUAUUUAGGGAGAGUUAAUUUCUCUACAUGUUAAGAAGGUACUUCGCAUUCAAGUCAAUUGUCAUAAAAAAAGCCUGCUAAGUCCAACGAUAUGAUUCGAUUUGCACUGAUUGAUAUUUUAUUAUGGCAGGCUUGCAAAAGGCUUGGGAAGAUAGAGCUCUCCGACUGCGAGAUCUAUGCAUCAUGCGAGCCUUGCCCGAUGUGUUUUGGUGCGAUACAUCUUUCCCGAAUCAAGGUUUGCCUUGCCCUUUCUUUUUCUUGUGAUUUCGGAGUUGGGACUUUGACAUGUAUACCCACUGCAGAGUCAUCUAACAUAUGUGUUCCUGUAAAAUCUGAGUAUACGUAUGUACCCAUCGAAAGGUAUAAUUAUUUACAAAAACACCCAUAUCACUAGUCUGGUAGUCAUCCAAUUUAUUGGGGAAGUUUGAUUUGUGUUAGAAAAUGUUUUAUGAAAAAAGGUGGUACUUUGUGAGUAAAAUGGUUUGUAUGUAAAGAAAAUAAUGAAUCUUUUGGAGGGCUAUCUGAAAGAUUUUGCUAGUGUAUAACUGUAUAUGUAUGGAAAUGGAAAAUUUUACAGGAGUACAUGUGUAAAUAUGUCUUUAAAAGUCUCAAGCAGUUAUUGGGUUGAGCUCACCACACCGCUAUUUGCUUCACUUCUUUAAUAAACAGAGGUUGGUAUAUGGAGCGAAGGCGGAAGCGGCAAUUGCCAUUGGCUUUGAUGACUUCAUUGCUGAUGCUCUGAGAGGAACUGCAUUUUAUCAGAAAGCCCACCUGGAGAUCAAACGAGCUGACGGCAAUGGAGCCAUAAUAGCAGAGCAAGUCUUUGAGAAAACAAGGGAGAAGUUCCAAAUGUACUAAAAAUUGCUUUGUUUUAUUAGAAGACAACGGAGAGGCUUUGGAUUUAAUCAAUGCCUCCUGAUGCUCAAAAGGCGAAGCAAUUCUGUUGAAAAUUUCAUUCUUAAUAAUCACUCUGAGCGGUAACUCGUGGUUUCCGUUGUUAUGACAUUUUCUUUCUGGAAGGCAAAAUGUCUCAAAUUGUGUUUUUAAUUGAUUUUGUGAGUGUAGUUGAAUUUGUUGAUGCUUGUGAUUAACCUGAUACUUGCAUGUUCGGCACUCACCACUUACCAAAAUGAACAGAAAGGUGAAACUGGUUCGGUUGUUUUCUGGAUAACUCAUGAACUAGCUCUUCCUGCUCCUUGGAAUUUAGUUCCACCUACUCCUUGGAAUUGUACUAUUACGCACUAAUAAUGGUUUACACCUUCGAGCUUAGGCUUGUUCCGAGAACCCUAAUAAUAGUUUACUAUGGGUGUAUUGACUUAUGAGGAAUAAAUUCAAGGAUGAUAAGACAUUUAUUUUAUUGUCUUAGCCGUUUGGCCUUGUUUGGCAUUGAAAACCGAAUUGGACAGAAUAAAAUGAGAAAGAAAUAUUAGGUGUGAAAGAGAAACUAUACAUGCCGUGCAUGAAAGGAGAAUUUUCCAUUGUAUAUCAUGGGAGAGAAGAUGCGUGUGUUGUCUUUUGCCUGCAGCUAGGGCCUAGGGGUGCAAUGUGGGCCGUGCCGGGCAUGGCACAGCCCAGAUUAUCUGGGCCGAUUCAGGCCCAGAGGGCGGCCCGGCCCGUCCCUGUUACGAAUUCAGGCCGGGCCGGACCGUACCAGCCCGUUUAUUUAGAGGGGAGGUCCGACCCGGCCCCCUGGCCCGCCCGGAACGGGCCGGGCAGGGCCGGGCCAAGCUUUUUUGCCGGCCCAGUAAUAGGGAAUUUCUUCCUAAUUGUCCUUUUUGCAUUUGUUUUAAAAUUAUUUUUUGAAGUAAAAGAGAUAAGCAGUUUUUAAAUUAUAGACUUUUGAUUCAUAAUUUUUAAUUUACAUAAUAACAUCCAACUUUUUUAAAUUUUUUUAAAAAAUUUUAUAAAUUUUAAAAAAAAUUAAACACUAACAAUAAAUUUAAAUUUUUAAUAUUGUUAACUAAUAUUAUAUAAAAUUUAAAGCUUAAAGAUAAAUAAAGGAAGAGUUUCUGUUGUGAUGAGUUUGGAGAUUUUAGAGGAGUAUUUAUAAAUGCAAAAAAAUUUAAUUUUUUAAAUAAUAUAAAACAUUUUUUGACCAAAAUGCCCUCUCUAAUAGUUAAAAUUUUAAAUGUUAGUGAGGGCAUUGUGGUCAUUUUGAUUAAAAAAAUUUUAAAAUUGUUUUUAACCAUUUUUUUUUUAAAAUAAUAUAUAUAUAUAUAUAUAUUUAAAAGGAUGGGACCCAACGGUUUUAAAUGCCGUUGGGCCCGUCCUCAAGGAAAAAUUCUAGAAUGCAACGGGUAUAUUAGUGACGUGGCGUAACAAACCAAUCAAAUUAAUCCUUUUAAGAAUAUAUGUCCCAUUAUGAUUGUAAAAAAGUAUUUUUAUUGUACUUUUGUUUGAAAAGGAGGAAUGUGAUUGGCUUGUUAUUGAUGACGUGGUGCAAGUGUGACAGUGUAGAAUUCCUCGUCCUCAAGAGAUCAAGCCAUCAGGCUACAGCACGUCAGCACCCUACGUGUAGGCUACAACCUACAUGUAUUCCCAGGAAGCCAGGACGGCAGGGCCCAUCAAUUUCAAAUGCUAGGCCGGGCCGUGCCUGCCAGGCAAACACGGCCCGUGCCGUGCUGGGCUGCGGGCCGACAGUAGGCCUGGUACGGCCUAGGCCCGACGCAGGCCGUGCCGUGCCUGGCCUUCGGGCCGCAAAAACUAAGCCCUGCACGGAUGCUACAGUAAUCAUGCCGGGCCAGGUACGGCCCGUAGUCGUGCCAGACCGGGCGGCCCGUUUUACAUCGCUACCUGCAGCUAGAUUAACUGAGACUUUAUUUUUCCAAAAGGGAACCUUUCUCUUUCUGUCCCGUUAAAUAAUUAUUCUGUUCUCGAAUCAGAAAUUGAGCCUGGCAUUAACUACCUCAGAUUAUAAAUUUGAUUAUAAAUUUGCUCUCUAGUACAACGCAUUCCGCUGUUUCACCUGCUGUAUUUGAGAAGGCCUCGCUCUGCUGGUCUCCACAUCCUCUUCCUGAAAAUUGACAAUGAUGUGGGAAACAAUGUUGCGUCGAGAUGAAAUUCUUAACAAUUUACAAGAAGAAAAUCCAGACAAUAAAGAAAAUAGUGGCACAUUCCUUCUUGCAUACACUUGUCAGUCAAACAUUACUUGGGAAAGUAAUAGAAACCAAUGAUUAAACCAUGCAGCUGUUUUAUCUCCAAAGUCUGAACCAUGCAUAUGAGAGUCUGAAGCAUACAAAUUUUAAGGACGAAAAAAGAAAAUUAAGAAAAAAAACUGUAUAAUGACAAGUUCCAGCAGUAACUGUCUGUCACACAAAUAGGCAAAGUAAACAAAUGGCAAAAAUCAGAUAAUGUUAUAAAAGAUAAACAAGCCUCCCUUGAAUAUAAGGUGUAUAGAUAUAUAUAUAUAUAUAUAUUCAUCAUACACAUGCGCACUGCUCUCCUCAUUCACAUUACAGUAAAGCCAUCUUCAAAAAGGGACUCACCAACCGACUUGCACCAGACUCUUGCAACAGUAAACCCUCGUUCCCAUAACAAACCGCAGACUGGUCAGGGACUUGUCUAAGUGGCUCGCACAAUUCCGGAGAGACCAAGUUAGAAUACCCUUGUAUAUAUGAACACCUCCAUGGCGGAUUGGAUGCCACGCUAAGCGACACAUUUGACAAGCAAAUACUACUAAAAUUAUCCCCCUGAAUUCCUUCUAACAUCCCCCCAGUUCCGAUAUUUACACCCACGAUAUCCUGUAUAGUUAUUCUCUCUAUAAUAGGGAGUGCAUUUUUAUCAUACUUAUCAUCGGGGUGCUCGCCAUACCGACCGGUGAUCCUAAUGGCGAUCGUCACGUUACUCAUAUUGAUAUUUUUAAUGUAGAUGUUUCUUAUGUACCCGCCGCGGCCUGGAGAAGUCUUUAUUCUUAUUCCGUGGAGGGAGUUCAUGAGGUGAAAGUCUUCUACGCUGAUUUCGGAGAUGCCGCCAGACAUCUCACUACCAAAGGCGAUGCCAGCCCCUGUGCCAGUCUGGCCACUUAUGUGGCGGACACUGAUGUUCGUGCUAGGGCGGGCAAAGGAGAUACCAUACUCGUCCCACCCACUCUUUAUCACAAUCAGGUCAUCGCCCGUGCUGAUGUAACAAUCCUCGAUGCACACAUUGCUCGAUGAGUCUGAAUGCAAUCGUAGCUAAUAAUAUUACUACAGGAAUACAGAUUCGAUAAAUUAAUCCAGAAAAAGCAAGAAACUAAAAGUAAACUAAUUAACUCAAAUUAACAAACAAAUUUCAUAGUCGAAGUUGAUCAAUUAUGUAACCAAUGAGAAUGGCUAUGAUAGCACAGGACAAGUAGAACAAGUCAACAAGAAAGGACUUCUUCUUGCUGUACCCAUUGAAGGCAGGAAACAUGCUUAAAAUCAGUAGAACAAGCAAGGAAAAAACAUCAGAAAUUAUAAGUAAGACUUACAACAUUCUUUCUAAAUAUAACUUUUAUAUGUUCCUGAAAGAAAACACUUUAGACUUGAAUGAACACCCAUUCAACAGGGCAUAGGUAGACUCCCACACCAAAAGAGAACAAGAAAAAAAAAAAAGAGUUCAGACUUCCAAAACGCAUUUUGUGUGUAAAAUGGGAGUCAAGGAUCCCGAAUUUUAUCAAAUGUAAUUGAGUUUACUUGUAAAAAAGCACGAAGAACUCCUAUUUUGGAGUAGUUAAUAACUGAAACAGGAGAUGUUAGGUCCAUAAAAUCCAGCAUUCAUUAUCACUUCCGAUGAACAAUUAAAAUUUUAUAUUUCUACGAACCCUCUUAUGAUCUAAUGUCAUGAGGGUGAAUUUGGUUGGCAUUUUUUUCAAUUCAAGACACCAGGGAAUAAGUGUAUAUCUGGAAAAUUUCUAUGAAUCCUCUUAUGACUAAAGUCCUGAGGGUGAAUCCAGUUGGCAUUUUUUCAACAAGACACCAACAAGAGAACAAAUAGGUGUAUAUCUGGCAAAUGAUUUCUACAUCUGACAUUUUUGGCAUCUGGUAUUUAGAUAAUCACUGUUACAAGUUUUUUUUGUGACAAAACCAUCCUCAAUUUCUAUUCGUUUGAAGACCAGUAUUCAAGAUACGUAUAUCACAAUGUCAUAGUUCUCGACAACGCCAAAUAUGCUACUUGAUAAAAAUAGGAGCAGCUUAUUCUUUCUCAUCAGUAUCGGAACAACAAGAUAAAUGAGUAGGUUGCCGACAAGAAAAGUACAAAAAUCAAAGAAAACAAAGGAUAGCAAUGAGAACAAUAACUAGUUUAUGCUCUAGAAAUGUCGAGAAUACCUGGAUCAAUGCCAUCCGUGUUUGGUGAAUUGAGCGGCGCAAGGAUUGUGACAUUCCGGACAAGCACUUGGCUGUUAAUUAAGAUAAAGAUAGUCAUUCUCAAAUAUCCCCCCACACAUAAAUCUCCACUUGUGCAUCAAUUUAUAUAUUUAACAACAGAGAAUUUAAUCCAACCAAGGACAAACCUGCAAUAUACAGGAUGGAUGGCCCAAAAUGGCGAAUUUACGAAUGUUACAUCUGAGAUAACCACCCCAGUUGAAUACAUGAGCUCAAUGAGGUGGGGCCGAGUAUAAUUUAGUGCCUGGUUAUGAAACCAGUCCCACCAAAUGCCUCCUUGACCGUCAAUUGUACCAUUACCACCUUGAAGAAAAUGAGCAUUGAGAACUUACAUAAUUGAAUAACUCAUUAAGAAAAGCAGGCCAGAGGCUAUAUUGUCGUUAAUACUUACUGACCAGUAAUUAUCACAUCUGUGAGAUUGUAUCCAAAUAUUAAGCUUUGAUGUCUUCCGCCUGGCAGCUCUCUGCCUCGCCCAUAUGAAGGAAGCGGAUCGAUGACUGGCCAAUCGGAGGAAUCCUGAAGAGAGGUAAAUAUGAAAUAACUUAUUUCCCUUCAAUAUUUAUUUGAAGUCAUUUACUCUGCCACUCAAUUUAUGUCCUCAUCUCCUAUACAGUGCUACAAAUCUAAACUACAUUUUCGUGGUCAAGAAGAAGACCAGAAUGUUCUAGCAAAGUGCAGAGCAAACCCAGGAAGAUAGCCAGGUCCGACGUAUCAGUUUAGGCUUCGGUUUCAGCAGUUCUCGUGGCCUCUGUGGUUUUGUUUCAGUUUUGGAUGCUAUAAAAUUGUCUCCAACUUCUCAUAAGAUCAAAGCAAACAAGAUCACGGUGACAAUUAUAAUAAAACUUGAUACAACAACACCUUGAUACAUCAAAGUGACAUUUUAUGCUAUCUUAUAAAGAAAAUAGUUAACUUUCAUACUGUUGUCCACAAAAGGGUUAGAAAUAUUACUUGCCCGUAGAAGGCAGUUUUGGCAAAUUUGCUCUGUAAGUUCUUAAGCUAAGAUUGCUUUCAAAGCCAUUCCAACCAAAAUUGUAAUCCUUUUGUUUUCAACUGGUUCUUGGCUGAAACUUCAUGUUAAGAUGUUUCCAUUUUCAAAGGACCAUGUAGAAUGGUUUAAAGAAUUUUACCUAACCAACAAAUAUAUAGGACUAAAAUCAGUAAGAAUCAAGGCUCAGUAGAGUUGUCGUACAAGUAAAUGGAGUUAGCUAGCAACUAAAAUUUUAUGAUCCGACCCAACUUCUAGAUAUACAAAAGCAAAAAAAAUCUUUUUCUCUUUUUCUUGCGCAAGAUCAAGUACAAUAUAAAAUGAAAACUAAUACAAAUAUUUUUACGCACCGUGGAUCCAAUAAUUAUUGCAUCCUUCUCCAGGGACAAAGUGAGAUGGCUGAUAAGACUAAAACUCCCUGUCAGCCAUCUUCCCUUUGGCACAAACAACUCAGCCCCACCCUUAUCCGCAAAAGAAUUGAGAUAGAAUAUCGCAUUUUGAAAUGCUUUAGUGUUGAGGGUGACACCAUCUCCUACUGCACCAAACUCGGUAAUUGUGACACUAUGUGGUCGAACCACGCCGGAAUCCAUCUCCUUGCAAUAUAAGCUAGAUACUGCUUUUGGCCAUUGUACUGUUGCAAGGACCAAAAGCACUCCAAACAGCUGAGUCAAAUAUUGAAAAAAACCAGUAUCAGCAAUUUAAAGUUCUAUUUCAUUUUUUUUUUGUGAGGGUGCUUUAUUUGCAUAAAGUAACAUAUAAUAAUAUUUUUAUUUUUCAGGUGCUCUAAAUUCCAACAAUGUUUUUAGGCCUUUUGUCAGAGGAGGUCUAUACCAGAGGGAUGACUAACCAUUGAUCACACAUUGAAACAGGAAUUACAGUUUAGUGACUUAGUUGCAACACAUUAAAGUUCGAAGACUAAGUGAAACUUCACGACAAGCUCAGUGGUGUAAUUUACCCAUACACAGUUAGUAAAUAAUAGAAUGUGAUUUCCUUUCUUCUGCAAGUCCUGAACUAAAGUAGGAGGAUACUAGACAGAGAGAGAGAGUGAGAGAGAGCCAAGAGCGCAUUGUGUGGUCAGGGCAAGUUUAUAACAUCUUGCAUUUCAAUGGUUGUUUGAUCUGACUGAUAACAGAUGAAUAAUGAAAAACUAAGAAAUAGAAGUUAAAGUGGAUUAGAAAACAAAGCUGUUGACGAAAAAUUCUCCAAGACCAUCAGAUCCCACGAGAUAGAACCUGAAUAGUUUGUCAAAUAGAAACUACAAAAGAUCAAAAGCAAGACUCUUCUUCCGUUUAACAACGAGCAUUCAUAUCCAAAAUACCGUCAAGCUAGACUCCUACACUGACGAACAAAAAUAUUAUGUAUUCACAUGGAAACUCUUGUUCCUGCUUCACCUCGGGCAAAAAGGUGAUAAUGCGCCCUAGGGUUCUCUUCAAAAACAUCAUUUUAGCUCUCACUCAAGAUCCUGUUAAUAUGAAACCACAGAGUAGUGAUCUAGUCUAGAGGGAAAUUUAACCAUGCUAAAUUGAAGAUGAAAUCAAAACCCAACAAAAGAGAAAACAAAUGAUGCUCUCGGAUCUUCUUCUUCUUCUUCUUCUUCUUCUUCUUCUUCUUUUGAAAUGUGAUGCUCUCAGAUCAUCAAAAGAAGAAUUAUUUAAAUACAAAUAAAUAUCAAGCACUUCAAUCUAGUCUAGUACAUUAUCAAGCUACAGGGUAAAGAGAGAAGGAAGAAAAUAGAACGAAUUUUAUUUUGGAAAACUCUCUCUCUCUCUCUCUCUCUCUCUCUCUCUCUCUCUCAAGCAUUAAUGCCAGAAUGAAUGAAUGACAUUAAUGCAGUAUAAAGCUCUUCCCUUUUGCAGAUAGCAUCUGGAGAGAAAGCGAAACAUUACAAACAAACUCUCACACUCACACUCCCCAUUCAAGACCCAAAUGGCCAGAGCAUGAGAGCACAUUUCUUAAAAGCAGCAGCGAUCUUGUUAAGAUUAAGGGGGAAAGAAAAAGCGGAGAGAGAGAGAGAGAGAGAGAGUGAAAUAAUGGAAGAAGCCAUGUUUUUUAGGGCGGAGAAGAAAGACGCAGAAGAGGCCGGCCACUUACAGCUGCAGAUCUCUCCAUCUGAACACAGAGAUCUCUUCUCGCCCAAAAAUGGAAGAAGAAGAGCAAGGAGAAGAAGUAAAGAGAGACCCGUCAGAAACUUGUUUAGCGAAAUCCCACGUGAUCAGCACCACCAUUCAAGGGGGGGUAGGGACAGGGGAUUGGGGAUUGGGGAUUGGGGAUUGGGGAUUGGGGAGCAGCUGCAGCAAGCCCGAGCAGCGAUCAAAAAAUGGGGGCUCUGUUUCAGUUUCACCACCAGAAAGAGAAAGAGAAUAAUAAUAACAAUAAUAAUAAUAACAAUAAUAAUAAAUAAAUGAGAUUAAAAAAAAAAAGAAAAAAAGAAAAAGGGGAAUGAGAUGGGGAAUGGGAGGAGGAGGGGGAGGGGGAGGGGGAGGGGGAAAUUGUUUGAUGGUGACAAAUGAUGUCCUGUGAAAGGAGCAAAAACUGUCCUUGGACACUACCUUUUGUCUUCAGACUUCAGCUGCCCCUCCCGUUACUGUCCCAGGCACAGCCCGGCCCCUUUGGCCUCGCAAACAGAAUAGCCAAGUGGGUGAGAGAAGGUGAGGGGGUCUUCCUACUCUUAUUAAAAAACCCACUUUUUAUUACUGCUGCUGCUGCUGCCGCUGCCGCUGCCCCUUGGUGGAGACUGGAGACUGGAGAGGAGUGGGCGGGUGCUGUUGUUUUGAGCGCUGGGGACUAGCAGUCUAGUAGAGACAGAGAGAAAGAGAGAGAAUCACAUAACGCCAUUCUUUUCAUUUCUUUCUGGGUAAAUUGUUUGACGAAUGGUCCUCCUACUAUUCCCGUGUUGCGGCUCGGUCGUUAUACUUUUUAAUUUAUACAUUUUUAAUGUUUGAACGUCAAAUUUAAUGAUCUUAAAAAAACAAAAAUUCUUUUUUGUAACUCUGUUUAUCAGACUAAUAAACUGGAAUAAGCUGGUCGUUUGGAGGAAGAGAGGUUCUUCUAUGGCUUGUUUAUAGAAAACAGAUAUAUAUUUUUUGAUAAGGGACUAAAGUGUGAUUCAGCCACAAUUCCAUACAAUCCCCUUAGGGCCCGUUUGGUUCGAGUUAUGUAAUAUUACAAAGUAUCUCGACAUAUCCAGGUAUUUUGGAUUUCGGCGUGAGAUUACUACUAAUGUUACAUUAGAGCGUUUGGUUUAAUACAGUAAUGUAAUACUAGAUUACAGUGUUUAUAGCAUUAAUAUGUUUGGUUCAGUUUAUAAAAUUUAGUAAUCCUGACAUAAAAGUAUAGUUUUUUUCAAAAUUGCCCUUGUUGUGGUCAUUUGAAUAUUAUUUUUUGCGGAAAUGACGAAUGGAGGGAAGGAGAUCGUGAUGAUUAUUUGGGAGGACGACGCAAUAGAAGAUGAUAGGUGUUCGUGAGAAAGAGAGAGAGAGAGAGAGAGAGACGUCCAGAGAGAGAGAGCGAGAGAAAGCGGCGUGCGAGAGAGAGGGCCAGGGGAAGGCGAGAUAGAGAUGAAAAUAAUGCUGUUAAUUAGAUUUGGGGUUGUUGGAGGGUAAAAUUGUCAUUUUACAUAAUAUGUAGUAUUAACGGGUUUCAGUAAUGCAAGAUACACGACCUCCCUCCCAUUAAUAUUUUCGAUGUAAUCCUGCUCGAUUUGUAACCCUACAUUAACAACUAGAUUACAUAGCGGAUUAACCAAAUAUAGUUAUCCUGGCAGGAUUGUCUGUAAUCCUGCCAGGAUAACUCGAACCAAACGCACCCUUAUUGCCAUUCAUGCAGGAGUGCAGAGGAGUGGUCCGUUACAAUGGAGCAAUUAUUAUUAUUAUUAUUAUUAUUAUUAUUAUUAUUGUUGUUGUUGUUGUUAUUAUUAAUCUUAAAAAGAAGAAGAAGAAGAAGAAAAAGACCAACUUGAGGGAAGAAUUUAGAAUUUAAAAUUUAGAAUUUAGAGGUGGUGGGGCCCAAGAAAUAAAUAAUAAAAAGAAAUAAUAGUCAGUCUUAAUAAGCGCUAGCUUAAGAUUCGAAAGAGGCGAGUCUUUGGAUUCCACAUGCCCGUAUGACGGAAGACACCUGCGAUAAGACUAAACAGCCCCAGAGGCUAAUGCUAUAAUACCAUACAAUAUUCUUACCUCUCUCUCUCUCUCUCUCUCUCUCUACACAUUUGUGUGUUUUAUUCCAACAUUGCUUGGGCUGCAAUAUUACGGAAGCAAUGCUUGAUUAUUCGUGGUUAGAUAGGCUCCUGCCAAAUUGCAAAUGCAUCACCAAUCAGUCUCUAAAAGAGAAAAUAUUGUUUUAUCAAUAGUUAACAUCAAUACUAUUGUAUAAUUAAACUUUUAAUUGCCCUCUACGAGAAAUUAGAUAAUGAGCAAAUAAUUAUAUGCAGGGGAAACCAAAUCAUCAAUUAUAUACUGUGGGAAAAUCAUAACCUCGUCCUACAAUACUUGCUUGAAUUGGAAGUUUACCUUGCUAAUUAAAACAUGUUACAUGUGCUUCCUUGUACCCCCAAAAAAAAAAAGAAAAAGGGUUAGAUGCGCAACAAAAUUUUGGAAAUUCACGAGUGCUUUGCUUGUUGCUGCUACUCAAAUUGAUCAAAUAUUUCUCGCAUUUCUUGCUAGGGAUGGCAAAUUCAUCAAUUUCCUGGGAUAAGGUAUCAGAAGAAAGAGAUUUUCUUCAAAGAGUAAAUCUUCUGUGCAUAUGUAUAUAUAUUUCAUCAUAUAUGUAUAUAUGCUUUUUUUUCUAUCACCUGCGGCUUGUUGGUUUCUUUCACUAUAUAUGGUUCAUGGUCUCUUUCGGUUAAUUAGUCUGAUUAGCCCUGUCCUUAAUGCCUCCGAUAUACCAAGAGGAUUGCUUCUUUAUAAAGCAGCACGUCUUCCACGGAAGUCAUUAGCGGCUACUUCAAGCAUUAAGUAUCUGUACAGUUGCUUGAACAAGAGAAUUUCAUUUAAUCAAGUCAUCCACUCCAUUUCCUUAAUUACCUUAAAAUAUACAUGACCUUUUAUAGAAAAUUUAUGCAGAAGAAAAAUGCUACUUGUGCCCCGCCCCCUACAUAUAGAGGUGAGCAUCGAACACCCUGCUGAUUCUAGGAUUUACUAACUCGUUUUAAUUUUUUAGUAUUAAAAGAUUAAUUGAUAAUAGAUAAUAAUCUUUUAAUAAGUGGAGUGUAAGAUUUAUACCCGGCUCUAUGAAUAUGUGCACAUGGUACUGGUCUAGGUUAAGUUUUCUCAAAUUAUGAGGUGCGGGACAAUGUGAUAUUCAAACUUUAAUUUAUUAUAACUUUUAGUUUGAACUUUUCGAAUUAUUAGAAUAACUUCCGGCACGCUAAUAUUUAGUCAGUUAAAUUAGAUCACGAAACUUCAUUAUAAAAUUCGAAGCAAAAAUUAUUAUAAAGUAAAAAUUAAUAACUCGAAUGUUAAGCAUCCUAUCGUUUGAGUAACAAAGAGUAAUUUAGCUACAGAGAAAAUAAAGCACUCACCAAUGAGAACCCUCGACUAGACUUAAAAGAGGGAAGAGGAAAUUUUUUUUAAAAAAAAGAAGAGGUUUAAUAAUACAUGAAACGUCAAAAGCAACAUGACACGCAUCGUAGACUGAUCUGGUUUGACUAUAAUUAGGUGGGACUUGUACUUGAAGCAUUAAGCACAUGAAUUCAGAUCUUGACCUUCUAACGUGCAACUUCACGGCUUGUAAGGUUAUGUUUGGGAUACAACUUGUACUUCUUUUAUACAGUUUAGCGUCUUCGCCUUGCGCGAUUGUUUAUCAAAAAUGGAAAAAAUGCAUCCAAAUAUGCAUUGUUCCACUUAACUGUGUAAAAUUUUAUUCACAAAAAAUGGAUCAGGCAUUCAUGCAUGGAGUUCAAAAAUACGUUUAUAAGAGGUAGUAAUUAAUGCAUAUAACUUCAAGGAGUACACAAGCUUAAUUCCAUUGAAAGAAAGAAGAUACAGGAACUAACAGCGAAUUCAGAACACGAACAACAGUAAUAUUGUCUUGAUAUUUGUAGUAGCCCAACUGAUCUGUAAUGUGGCUUGCAGACGGAGAAUUUUACAUUGUUUAAUUUGUGCACAUCUUCGAGCAAUUGCUCAAUAUUUUAUUUAAUGAAUUGGUUGCUAGUACGUGCCAAAAGCCCAAAAUGGCCCCAUUAGGCAACAAGAUCACAUGGCAAGGACUAAUAUUAUCAUCAUUCACAGUGCUUGCUAGCUCUUGUGCUUUUAUGGUACUUGAAAACCUUUUUAGAUGCUUCAACUUCAAGGGGACACGGUUCACUACUUCUAGGAAUAUUUUUGUAUAUCUUUUCUACAUCCAAGAAAUUUUGAGAUGUUGCAUUAAUAUGUUUUUUUUGUCAAAAGAGAUUCAGUAGUUUCUUGCUGCAGUAGAAAAAAAACCAGCAUCCUUUGAGCCUUUAACUUUAGGAGCCAGUUGAAUCUCAUUUCAGCUUCACGCCAUGUCAAUAGUUCUGUAGUCUUUGCACAUUCACCAUGAGGUAUAUUCAAAUUGUUGUGAAAGAGAGGCCGAACAGAUAGUUAGCAAGCUCAACGAAAUAUUUCCUAUUCUUUCCAAUUUUGAAGAAAAGUAGGCAUAGGCUUGUAAUUUCGCUCAGGAAUUAAACAAACUUACUACAAAGGGGGCAGGAUAUCUGGCGUUAAAAGGCAUAAUUAUUCGGAUUCGAUGGAUGCUUUUUAAGGUUAAUAACUUACGUUGGCAUGCCAGUUCAAGCCACUAAUACUUAUCACCGGAUCAAUUAAAUUGAGUUUAUAAUCUACCUGAAAUUAUUCCUACAACCAUGGUAAUUAAUAACACAUGCCUAAAGUGGUAUCGCAGAUGAACCAGCUGUACAUAUCCAUCCACUACCCUUUUCAUUUUUCUGGGGGACGAAAAGAAAGAACUCGGACUCGGAAACUGACAGAAAACUGUAUGCUCAGCUCAAAGAGGAUGUUUUUGUUAGAGUUUUCACUUUUGGGAUCUAAAAGGCCAUUUCACAUUCUUGCUGAUUCCGGGUACGUCAAAAUUGAUCAUCUGUUGUUAAUAAAUCCCAGUGCAGCGUGUAUAAGCUAGCGGUAGUAAGUGGCAAAACAAGCUAAUUUUGAUAUCGGGAGGUUUAAAAAGAAGCACGCAAAGGAUGGGAGGAAAAAAAAGAAAGGAAAUGUGGUGGAUAAGAAGUGCCUUCUCUGCUCUGCUAUGCUCUGUCACUUGAAAGUAAGCCUAAUGCUUUGGGAUCCAAUGCCUAGAGAGAGAGAGAGAGUAAGAAUCGAGGGAUAAUUUUCUAUAGGGGAAGGAGAGAGGCAGCAAGACCAAAACAAUCAACAGAAAGAAUCUUUGGUAGAAGAAUAAAAUGAACUACUAAUGUUUAAAAAAUAUCUAUGACGUGCCCAGAUUGCUUUUUCUGGGAGUUCCAAGACAAGAAAAAGUAACCUGCUUUUUGGAAUUCAAAUAUUUUGUCUGGUAACUGGUAAGCCAAUUUUAUCAAAUUUGACCCAUUAAUUUAGCUCCAAUUUGAUCCUAAACUGCCUAAUGAAAAACAUUUGAUUCACCUGGCAAGAAUGAUAAAAGAGUAAUUACAACAGCAGCUUUCUUAAAAGCAUAAGAUACAAAAUAUAUCCUACACUGUGACUAGCUCCCGUUGGUUUUCAAAUCUUUAACAUAAACCCGAAAGUGCAUAAUCAACAUAUUAAUUAAUUGAAUCCACCAAGCUAUUGACUUUCAGUAUUUUGAGUGCGUUUGCUACCGUUGUUCAAAUACAAAACCAGCCCCUAUGGGCCUUCUCCCAGAAAGAAAUUACGAGAAAAAAAAAAAAAGGCCCAGAUGUAGCAAGCUAUAAGCAGCUUGCUAUAAGGCUUUAUUAUUACCACAUUUUGGAAACUCUUUUGCUUGCAUUGGGUGCUGCACAAGUACAUUUGUGUAGGGCACCCACAUCAACUUUCCAUUUUAUCUUAUCUUUCAAUUGCUGGAAACUAUUUAUUCUACUUAAAAAAUAAUAAAUUGUAAUUUAAUGGAAGUUCGUGAUAAAAUAUAUAUAUAUAUAUAUAAUGGAACAAAGGAUGAUAUUAUAAUUACAGUACACUGAUUCAGCGGUUAUAUAUCAGUCAGCACACAGUGAAAGCUUGAAGAGAGAGAGAGAGAGAGAGAGAGAGAGCGCUAGAGCGCCACACAAUUACGUACAUACCGCAAUUCUCUGUAGAUUCUUUCUCUCAAAGAAAAACAAACAAGUCUCUGUAGAUUUGGUGUGAGCAUUAUAAAUGGUUGGCACGCAUGUGAGUUGCAAUGGAUCACCAUCUUCUUAAUCUUCCCUCGGCGGCAUUGGGCAUAGGGCAUAGGGCAUAGGGCAUAGGAGAGCUUUAAUGAGUGCGAGCCCUCCUCCUUCGUAGGUACUCCCACCAAUCCACCAUUAGGAUGAUUUAUACAUGCAAUGUAAGAUGGGUCCAGCAGUUUGUAAACUUUACCCAAAUAAGUGCUCCAGUUCCAUGGACCACACGGACUUAGGCAGCAGCUGUAUAUCCGCCACCUAACCUGCCUACCUACCUGCCUACUGACCGCUAGAGGAUCAUCGGGUUGAUGUUGAACAGUACGCGAGGCGAAAGUUGCAUAUGCACCUAUAUAAGACAUGCACGAAACCGAAAAAUUAUGACAAUUCGAGCCCUUAUUUAUUUAUUUAUUUUGGUGAAAUGAUGAUCAUCAGCUUCUUUUGGAAAUUGUGAGGAAUCGGCAACCAAAAAAAAUUUGCCAAAAUUAAUUUCAUACCAAUAUUGAAAUUUCCAGUGGUUCUUUGGCCAAGUACUUUUGAAAUAUUUUUUCUAUUUCAAAAUGGCAGCAGCCUAGCAAUAAUUAGACAAAAUGUGUAUCUAUGAUGGCGAGGAAAUGAAAUGCUCCUCAUAUUUUUCAAAAGCAUAAUUAAGUUUCAAAUUGAAACUUGUCAUCUACUUUACGGUAAAUAAGUAUUGGUAGGAUUUUAUUGUUCGUCGUAUUCGUAAAGAUUACUAAGAUAUAACGGAUCAAUUUCAAGUACACAGAAGAUGAAGUGUGGUUUAUGGUUUGAAUUAACAAGUUAAACAGCCGGCCGAGGGACUUGAUCCAGUCGAUAAUCUCCAAUUAAUCAACGGAAACACGCAAGCAAUUUGAUGAUUGUCAAAUGCUGCUGACAGCACCUAUUCAGAUGUUUAAUCACCCUUCCUAAUCCGUCCUACUUUCCUUAAUUCAAUAUUAAUCCUUGUCAUUCCGUGAACAACAAUUUAUUUUAUAUUUUUUUUAAAUAAAUAAUUAGUUACUGGACGGUGGGGAUUAAAAUAUGGGUACGGGAUGAACGGCUCGCAAUACGCAGUUCGCAGCGUUUAGGGAUGCACCGGGUGCAAGCAAUUCUAAAAGUACCUCCGCGACUUGUCCGCGUGCGCACGAUGCAUCGUAGGUCAUCCGUACCAAAGGCUAGGUUAAAGGAGAGAGAAAGAAGUUAGGCGAUGCGGAGGUACGUACGUACUACAAAAGUGUACUACUGGUAGAGUAAGAACUCGGGUCCAGUGCGCCAGCGAGGGCAUAUGGCUCGCGUCGCGUGUAGUACUAGUACGAUCGUCGAGUUGAUUUGGUUAGCUAAUUAGAGUACGACCCAAGCCACAAUCGACUUAGUUCAUUUGUACUUGCUAGAUGUUGUACUCCCACCUAGCUUAGCUGGCUCGAUAGUAGUAACGAGAGAGAGAGAGAGAGAGAGAGAGAGAGGGAGUACAUGUACAGCGUCCUGCCACAGAAUAUGGUUUGAGGAUCAUCAGCACCUCGCUUCCGUGUGUGUGUGUGUGUGUAUAUAUUGGUGUAAAACACCCGGGGCUCAGCCACUUGUAAUUGCACAGUAAAUGUAAUUGACCCACCCCAACAGCCACUUCAGAAGAAGAAGAAGAAGAAGAAGAAGAAACCCAAAUAGAAAGGCGAAGGUAAAGAUUAAUUUGCAGGGCAAUGGAUGUUGAGGUAAGUAUUAAAGAAGCGAGCUAGAAGGGGAAUUGAGCAGACGGGGACGAGGUCGGGCAUGCGAGGGGUUCAGUCCGCAUAGAAAAAGAUUCCCUAUGCGGGUGCCCUUCCCAUGCACUGCCUCUUCCCUGGCUCCUCUCGAUCUCUCUCUCUUGCUCUCUGUGGAUCUCUCUCCAUCUCUCUCUCUGAAUCUCUCUCUCUCUCUCUCCCCCCAAUAUUUUAUGCUUCUGUUGUUCUUUUUCUUAUUGAUUGUCACUGCAGGACUGGCUAAUCGUUCAUUAAUUAAUGUGCUCCUUUUUUUCUUUAAUUCGUUAGAAUUUAGAAAAGAAAACAAGCUAGAUAGAUCGACCCCUUUCCAGUUUCCAGGUACGUCGUUACUAUUGAUUCUGACGCAGUAACUGGGUGGGGCAGUAUGAAUUGCAGUACUGCAAUUGGGGGGACCGGCAAUCGAUCGCCAGAAAGAACGCGCGGGGACUAUUAUUCCCUUCCCUUUAAAUGUCUGUUUUGUGAUUCGUUCAGUGCGUGCGAGAGUUGUAAAUCUAUAUAUUACAGUCAUAAUUAAUUUAUGUAUUCUAUCUACAAAACCUUUUUCUUUUCUUUUAUUUUUUCCCUUUUUUUUGAGGAAGUUUUGUGCAUGCUACGCCUGAUAUAUGUUAAUGUUGAAUGUACGGUUAUUUGAGAAAUUGAAAUUUGAUCUUUGAAUGCAGGUCACCAAAAAAAAAGAAGAAGAAAAAAAGUAUGUACUUAAUAAUUAAGAUGUGGCGUAUCAAAUGUACCCACAUUUUGGGAAGAUUGUAUUUAGAAUUUUGUGGUGUAUAUAUAUAUAUAUAUAUAUAUAUAUAUAUAUAUAUAUAUAUAUAGACGACUUGCUUUAUUAUGAGAUGAUAUCAUUUUGUUUGGUAAUGUACAGUUCGUUAUAAUGCACGGAUAAAAUGCAUUUAUCACAUAACAUGUACUCCUGUAAUUCUUAAGCGCGAUUAAAGAGCUACUAGCAAUUUCGUAUUUGCUGUCACGUUAUAAAAGUGCUGUUGUAAAAGAAUUCCCACGGCAACUUUGCCAGUUUGUAGCAACAGAUGAAUAGAUUAUUUUAUAUUAUAAACUCACGUAAUUUUUUUUUUCUAUCUGUAGCAGAACUAGGGGGUAAUCUGGGCCGUGCCGGUCUGGCACGGCUCACAUUACCCGGGCCGAUUCGGGCCCAGCGUCGGCCCGGACCAUCCAUGUUAUGAAUCCGGGCCGUGCCGUGCCGCCUGUUCAUUUAGGGUUAAAGGCCCGGCCCGGCCCCUGGCCCGCCCAGCCCGGGCCGGGCCUCGUGCCAGCCCAGUAAUAGGGCUUUUGUCCUGUCUUCUUUGUCCUUUUUUGUAUUUUUUAAAAAAAUUAUUUUUUUGAAGAAAAAGAGAUAAAUAAUUUUUAACUUAUAAACUUUUGAUUUAAUGUUUUUAAUUUACACAACUAUGCCCAAUUUUUUUGAAACUCUUUUAAAAAUUUUAUAAAUUUUUAAAAAAUUAAACACUAACAAUAAAUUUAAUUUUUUAAUAUUAUUAAUUAACAUUAUAUAAAAUUUAAAGCUUAGAGAUAAAUAAUUUUCACUUUCAAUUUUAUAGAUUUUUAAUAUAAAUAUUUUAAUUUACAUUUGUUUGAUCCAAUAACUAACUUUAAUAUAAAAUUAAUAACUUUUUUUCCAUAAUUUUUUAUUAUUUGAAGUGAACUUGAUAUUCUAAAAAAAAUAACAAAAAGAUAUAUAAAUUUUGAAUUAAUCAUAUUACAUAAUUACAUGAGAGAAAAGUAUAAAAAUUUAAAAAAUCAAAAAUAUAUAAAAAAAAAAAAAUUAAAUUUUUUGACCCUUUGUUUUGAAAAAAUAAAAAUAAAAAGUAUUUUUUUAAAACAAGGAACGGCUAAAGUGCCGUUGAGCCCAUCUUCCAAGGUUAAGUUUCUGCAAGAUCAUGUGGCUACAGUAGCCCUACAGGCUAUACAGCCUACACUCUAUAGAUAGGUCCAUAGGGUUUAGGGUAGGCCCAUGUUGUGAUCCUUGUUUUUCUAUGCCCCAUAGUCAUGGCUUGUGGAUUUAAACCACCGGGCCGUGCCCGGCCGACAUCUGGCACUGCGCGGCCCAGGCCCGAACGGGCCGUGCCGUGCCGGGCCCGCAGGCCACAAAAACUCAGCCCGGCAGGACCUGGAGUGCCAGGCCGGGCCGGCCCCCUAAAGAUGCUACAGUAACCGUGCCGGGCCACGGCCCGGCCCGUUUACAUCCCUAAUGCUGCAGAACCUCCAAUAUUACAGAAAGUUCCUUUUCUUCCUUUCGAAAUAGAGAAGUACUGUGCUUGUUGAAUGGUUUUGGUAUUAAAACCAAAUCACUUGGAGCAAAAAAAAAAAAAAAAAAAAAACCUAAUAUCUAGAUUUAAAAAUUGCUGCCGUAAUAACUGGACUUAAUGGAGGCCAAUUAACCUUAGCAAUGAUUUGGGCCGAGUCAGAGCAGGGCUUUCCUUCGCUGGCGCACGACAAGGCCCAGUAAAAUUAAGAGAAUACCUUGGACCAGAAUAUAGUGUUUCAGGCCCAAUUAAUCACCCAUGGGCUAAGUACCACUAUAUUCUCUACAUGCGCCUCAAUAACUAGAAAAUUGACUUGUAUUAUUGUUUGCUCAUGUCAUUAUUGCAUUUAAUUUUUCUUCUAUUUCAGUGCAAUUUGCCGCGUGGAUCUGAAAUUUAUAUUUGUUGAAAUUCGGCUUAUGUUGAAAAAAAAAAAAAAGGAAAGAAAAUCUCGGUGGACACUCGUCUUUCAAGAAACUAAGGUCCGGGUCAGAAUAGUAAGUAUAAUAAUAAUAAUAAUAAUAAUAAUAAUAACGCGAUUGUUAAUUGUAGCAAUUAUCUGAUUUGAUUUUGACCCGAAAUUUGUAUAUUUGCCAUCCGUGAUGAUAUUUGAAAGCGUGGCUAUACAACUUAAGUUGGCCUCAUGUUUCUUAUGUGUCAGCUAAAUUUGUAAGAUACAUUGCUUUCAUCUGUUGUUGGGAUUUCCCAAUCUCUCACCAUCCCAUUUAUUUAUCUUUUUCCCUUUAUUUAUUGUAGGCAAUACCUACAAGAUAGCUAUCACAAGGUUAUGCGUACUUGCACUACGCACAACAUAACAACCGGGAGGACGCACAAUAUUAGUAAAUAAUGAUAAUAUAUUAUAAUUAUUAUUAUUAUUAUUUUUCAGUUGGACAAUGUGAUGAAAGCAGUGACAGACUGAUCAAAAUCAAGCGCCGAGAAAUGUCCAAACAAAAAAAUUGUACGGCCAGGUGAUAAAAGCAUUGUGAUCCACCGCAUCAUCAGGACCGUCCGCUCUGAUAAAUUAUAGCAUGGGAUUAUUUACAGUAUAUAUAUAUUUGAAUAUUAAAUUGUUAAACUUAAUUUAGAUGUGGUAAAACUGAGUUGAUCGAUAUCUGAUAUAAUAAAUGCAUAAAAAAUUAGCCCUGUAAAUACGUUUGACCACAGCAUGACACCAAACCCAAUUAAACACCCGAGAGUUGGAUCUAACGGAUCGUCGGAACCGUCCAUUAAAUUGAACGAGCCAAUUAUUGGGUGUCACCCGCGGCGGGACAGCUUUGGCCGGCAAAAUCGCUGGCGUGCAGUCCAAUCAGAUCUUCUAUUUCAAAAAGUAUUGAUUGAUAGAUAUAGACUUUUGAUUUGUCACAAAAUACGAACGAAUAUACUACUUGUACAUCUCAUCUCAUCUCAUCUCAUGAAGGAUAAAAAUUCUACACUCUUUUUUAUAUCUUAAAACAUAAAAGAUAUUUAUUAAAUCUGGAGUAGAAGUAAAAUUUAUAAGAUAAGUAGAAAAUCGUAGUCAUAAAAUUAGACUUCUAGAUUUACACCUACAGCGUUUCUCAAAAAUUGUACUCGUUUUUACAAGGAUUAAAUGAAUAAGCGGCCAUGUCAAGUGCAUUGAAUUUGCUAUUUAAAAUAAUAAACUGGGCCAGCGAGUUUAAGUUACCUGUUACCCCUUUAGAAGGAAAAAUAAUAUAAUAAUCUGAUAAUAGAAAAUAAGUUAAGACUGGUUUAAUAAGAGAUUUGAUUGAUUAAUUAAAGCAAGCGCUUGUCUUUUAUCAUCCGGAAGGAAAUGCGAAGAAAAUUAAUUCCACGUCAGAAAACUACCAUCUCC